rnacentral:lncRNA from 1 species
CAUCUGCAUGCUAUCUGGACAGAGAUGAAAAGGGAAAAGCGAUUGAGGUAACCAAAUAUCGUGGGAUAAUCGGCUAAUUAUUAUAUUUAACUGUUAGCCGCCCCAAUAUUAUGUUUAGUGUUUGCAUGUAUGCUAGAUUUCAAGCUUUACCUAAAGAAUCACAUUAUAUUGCCGUGAAACGCAUCAUGAGAUAUCUAAAAGGAUCUAUUCAUAUGGGAUUAUAGUAUUCUCGGGAUGCCUCACUAUCCUUGGUAGGUUACUCCGACUCCGACUUCGCUAGGUGUAAGUUGGAUCGCAAAAGCACUAGUGGGACUUGUCACCUAUUAGGCAGCUCCCUAGUUGCAUGGCAUAGCAAAAAGCAAGCGUGCGUGGCUUUGUCCACCGCUGAAGCGGAAUACAUUGCCGCUGGCGUGUGUUGCGCUCAAAUCCUUUGGAUGAAGCAAAAACUUAAGGACUUUGGGCUUAUAUUAGAAAAGAUCCCUAUUAAAUGUGAUAACACAAGUGCCAUUAACCUCUCCAAGAAUCCCGCCUUACAUUCUAGAACUAAGCAUAUUGAAAUAAGGCACCAUUUCUUGCGUGAUUAUGUUCAAAAAGGUGAUUGUGUUUUAGAAUUUUUUGAAACAACUAAACAACUAGUAGAUAUUUUCACCAAACCCCUCUCACGAGAUACGUUCUAUGUUCUUCGAAGAGAACUAGGAAUUCUUGAUGAAAAAUAUUUUGUUUAAAAUUUUUUUGCCUUGCAUGAUCUCCUCUUUUAAUGUUUUGUAAAUGAUGAUUGAUUGCUCAUGAUCCCAUCUUAUAAAUUCACGACUCUGUGCUUAAAUGCUCUAAAUAUGUGUGAUAUCUUAUACAUCAAAUUAUCCAAUUAAGUUUAAAAUCCUUGCAUGAUUUUAAAAACAUCCAAAAUGCUGAAACUAAUGCAUUUAAUUGAUUAAGUAACUCAUUUAAUCGAUUACCUGGGGCAAAAUUUAAAAAUUGUCACUUUCAGCUCAGGUUUAAUCGAUUGAAGAGAUGCUGUUAAUCGAUUAACGACAUCCGUAUAAAUGGAACAGAAGCAUUUCUGGAAUUAUUUCAAAACACCAUUCAUCCCUUUUUCUCUCAAAUCUCAGAGGAACAAGUUCAACAUCAUCCUAAGCUCAAUCCUAGCCCUAAACCGAAUCCCCCAUUGCUUUUUCCCUCCAUAAACCAUUUCCCUCAUCUCCAAAUUCCAAACAUUCGUUUUUCCCCUAAAUUCAGAACCUAGCCCUAGGUUUAUCCAUCAACCCUCCUUUAAGCCUCCAUCACGAUUAAGUGUUCAUUUACUAUGGAUAAUGGACGUGGAAAGAGAAUCAAGACAACCACACAACGUCCACCGCAUGCUCCAAAAGCAGUGCCUCCUCCACAACCAAGGCAGAACCGCGGGGACCCAUAUUAUUCUCUAAUUCUACAAGGAACCUGGUUGCAAAAGUUCCAGGGAAGAAAACCCACCUAUAUUCGGUGUGCGAAUGUAACUUGGCUUGCUGAACAAAACUUUGAAUUUCCACAUGGCUUACAAGCUCAAGGGGUUGUCCCCUUCUUGGAAUUGAAAGGUAAUAUUUACCCUGCUCUAUUUAGGGAGUAUUACGCAAAUUUUAGAUACAAAGAUGGGAAAUAUUGGUCUAUGAUAGCUGGAAAACUGUUUGAGAUUAACGAAGAAAUUUUUAUGAACGUGGGUGGUUUAGCUUUUUCUGGUGCUAGUCUAAGUGAUUGUGGUUGGGCAAACGACAACUCAUUUGAUGUUGUUGAAAUGUAUAAGUCAUGUUUGUGUAGACCUCAACUUUAUGUCCAAGGCGAAUUGACCAGAGCUGGGUCAUUGUCCAUUGAAAACCGACUCCUACACUACUUGAUUGCCUACAUAUUGAUUCAGAGAAACACAAAUCAUGCAAAACCCACUGUGAAGGAGAACAUCAUGAUAAACUGGCCUGAUGAAAUUUUAGAGGCCAUGUAUAGCGUCUCAGUCUCUCAAUCAAGGCUACUUCCGUACAGUAUCUUUAUAUCCCGAAUAGUUGACUAUCUUCACAUUGAUAUUGAGGAUACCAUGGUAAUGGACUGCUCAGACAAGGAUCACUUGAUUGGUGAGAGUUUAGUUCACAAGAUGGGCAUCUAUAAGUAUGGAAACACUUGGCAAUAUCAAGAGGACUUCAACUAUGUCAACCUUGAUCCUUCUGGUGAAGACGAUCAAGACAUGAACCAAGAGCCAUUUGCUGCAACUCAGGGAGAGUAUUCAGGACAUGCAUCACAAGAACUCGUGUUUGGGCAAGCUUAUAUUGAUGCUAUGGAACAACGUCUCAAUAAUAGGAUGGACCUUCAUUUUCAGUCUCCAAUGGAUUCAUAUCAUACAGAUUUGGAACAUUUUGAGGAACGUCAGAAUGCAGACAUUGACAACCAUUACCAAUCCUUGCGGAACCAUAUUCAGUCUGCUAAUGAGUCUCAUAAUAGAAGAAUGAUUGUUGAGUUCAACAAGCUGAGUGUCUUCAUCAAGGGUGGUUGUAGCUCGUCAACUCCUGACAACCAGAAUCCUCCAUCUCAUCCUUAGAUAGGAACCCUUAGAGCCUUAGUUUAGUCCUCCUAGCUAAUGGACUUUGUUGAUCCUGUUUCCUCUUGAGAUCAUGUGUUUUGUGUUGCGUCACUGUUUUAUUUGGAUUGUAAUAACUCAUAACUACUACUGAUCUACUGUUUUGCUUUUGAAGAAUAUGAUUUCGAAUUAUCGUGAUUUAUACUUACUUGAUUAAUUAUGUCGCAUAUAUCUCUUCACUUUGUUUGCAAUGGAUCUUGAUCAUGAGUGGUGUAUGUAAUUAUGUUGACUGAUUAUGCCUAUUAUAAACCGCUUAAAUAUAUCAAAUGCGUCAUCAUUCCAUGCUUGAUUUGCUUAUGCAUAACCCCUCAUGUCAUUCAAACAGUUCUAUGGCUAUCUGUUGUCAUUUUAAUCGAUUAACAGCUUCACUUCUUCGAUUAAAUGAUGUAAAAAUUGUGAAUUUGUUCAAGCUUCUUAACAACUGAUUAAUUGGUUCAUAAUCCAAGGUUAAUUGAUUAAUUUCAGUCUGUCUUAACCAUAAUAACUCCUAACUUUUGAAUAGAAUUGAAUACGUUUAUCUUUUUUAUAAUUUCAAAAGGGGGAGAAAGAUUGCUUGUUGUGUUAUAUAUUUUGCAGAUUUUGUAUAGUAGUUUUGCAGGUUGUUAUAUCAAGCUUCCGACAAUACAUUUCAAAUGCGUUGUAACUGCUUUAACUCGGAAAGUCAAUCUCACUGUAAAAUCAUCAUCAAGCUUAUCCAUCAACAAUUGAAAUUUUUUGAUGAAGUGUUUGUCAUCAUCAAAAAGGGGGAGAUUGAAAGUGCAAAGUGUCAAGGAUAGCACUAGCAUGUCUUAGCCUAUGUUUUGAUGAAGACAAUGGUUUAACAAAGCUUGAAGAUGGCUCAACAAUCAAUAGGCCUUAUGCUCAUUUGGUCAUGUCUAGACUAGGAUAUAAAUUGAGUCUAUAAUCUAAGUAGUCUGGGAUGUGUGCCGUAGUAAUUGAGUAUAGGUUAGGUAAACCUAGAUGCUAGUCUCUUAAGCCAUCUUAGUUGAACUAUCAUAUUCAUGAGAUACAUCAUCUAGUUAAUUGUAUGUUCAUGCAUCUAUCAUACAUGUUAUAUGUGCAUAUUAGGCAUAAUAUAAUUAGUAAAGCAUGUAUGUUUAUGGUGCAUAACAUAUGAGAAGUUUGCCAUUUGAAACAUAUGCAUAAAUGCCUCCGUUAAUCGAUUAAUGUGGUACCUUAAUCGAUUAACCUAACUGCUUUUCUGUUGAAUAUGUGUCCUAUGUGCUUGUAAUUGAAUUGGUAUUUGUAUCCUUAAUUCAAUAUUGUGAAGAAAGAAAACCUCCCUGACCCAGAAGGGGAGGCCUGGAUGUAGUUUGCAGUGGACCGCAAACGAACCAGGAUAAAAAUCCUUUUUGCACUGUUCUUUCUCUCUUUAUCUUCCUUAUGUUUCUUGCCAUGAUAAAUUGAAUCUGUAAUUUGAAAGUUGGAUAUUUGUUUACUGCCAUAUACUUCAUAUUUGUGCAUAAAAAUAUCUGAAGUAUAAUUGUUCAAUUAUGUUUUAAUCACUAUGCAAUUUGCCUGUUUAGUCAUUCUGUUAUGUACAAUAGUUAAUCGAUUAAACCCUGUUGUUAAUCGAUUAACUGGACUGUUUUUCCAACAGUUGGGUUUUUGAUCAAGAAGCUGUAAUUGUUAACCGCUACACCUAUUCAACCCCCCCUUCUAGGUGUUCCUAGACCAUUGAUACCUAACAGAGAAUCUACUAAGGUACAAUCUUUUGACACUAGUUCAUAUUCGGAUAAUUUUGAAAAAUCGCCUACAUAUGAUGUACUAUAUAAUGCCUUUGUUGAACUACAUGAAGAAUUAAAGAAGCAAGCUAGAAUUAAUGUAGAUAGAAAAAUAGUCAUUAUUUUGCAUGAAAAGAAACUAGUUGAAAUGCAACAUGAGUUAAAGUUAGAAAAUGAGACUUUUGAUUGUUAGGUAUCAGUGGCUAAAAUACACCUAGAAGGGGGGGGGGGUUGAAUAGGUGUAGCGGUCAAUGUAUCCGCUUUCUGCAAACAACAAAUAAUGCUGAAAUAACCCCACAUUAAUCGAUUAACAAAGAAAGAAUAAUCGAUUAACGCAAGCAAUUUAAUCGAUUAAAAUAGCUCAGAUUACACGAACAGAUUCGUUUUCUUGCACGACAAGCAACUGAGAUCGAAUCAAAUAUAUAAAGCUAAUAGAUAUAUCAGAGUUACAACAGUAUAGUAUAGAAACAGAUGAUUACAAUUAAAACAACUAUACAAAGUAAUCGAUUAAAGCAAUAAAGAGAGAGAUGAAAAGAAAAGCGUGCAACGCGAUUUUUAUCCUGGUUCGUUUGCGGGUCCACUUGCAAACUACAUCCAGGCUUCCCGACAUAUCUGGGAGAUUUUUCUUCACUAUAAUUGAAAUAACAUUUUACAAACAAUUCUUCCAAUUACAACACUUAGACUCUUUCUUGAAACUAAAGAACCUUAUCCCUUGGUUUGACUCCCUUCCUACUGCCCAAGAAAACCUUUCUUGUGGUGUAGCCCCAGCCAAGAACAUAUUCUUUCUAUCAAGAUUUCUAAGCUAAUGAAGAUACAACACAAUCUCGUUGGUGGUAAGACACCUUGAGAUUCCCAAAGUUACAACACUUUUUNNNNNNNNNNNNNNNNNNNNNNNNNNNNNNNNNNNNNNNNNNNNNNNNNNNNNNNNNNNNNNNNNNNNNNNNNNNNNNNNNNNNNNNNNNNNNNNNNNNNUGAGUUCUGAAAAUGCAGUUUAUAAAGAAUCAAUUCUACAGCCCAGUUAAUCGAUUAAAUCCUUGGUUAAUCGAUUAACGUGUUACAAAAUUGUAACUGAUUCUUUUUUCCAAGUUUUCUGUUACAACAGCUUUUCAAAAACUUAUGUUAAUUGAUUAAAACACACCUUAAUCGAUUAAUUGCAUAUUUCCAAGUGUAUUUUUAAAUUUCAAAACUCAAAUAUGUUAUGCACUUAACUUAUACAUGUUCAACACUAAGUUUAUGCCUAGGAUGCACAUAUAACAUGUAUAUAUGUGAUGCAUGAACAUAUUGUGAAUGACAUAUCACAAAAAUAAAAUGAUUUAAUGUUUUAUGCAUAUGAGACAUGUAUUGAGUUUACCUAAGCCUUAGACUCAACCUAAACUAAUUACUAGUCUAAGUCUAAUACCAAUCUUGAGACUUAAGCAUGUUGAUUUGUUGAUGAUCUUCAAGCUUUUAUGAAACACAAGUUGUCCUCAUCAAAACCAAAACACAUAGUGAGCAAGCUUUCCAAAGUGCUUCUCUUGACAUGUGCACUUUCAUUGAUAUUAUAUAUGCUUGUGCUUCAUGUGAUUGUUCUUCUAAGUUAAUUGAGACCCCUAUAUGUGAGAAGUGCAAAGAUUAGGGAGCUGAACAUUUUGUUUUAGUUGAGACUCUUGAUCUUAUAUAUGCUUGUGCUUCAUGUGUUUUGAAGUCCAUAAAUUCUGUUUGGACUUCCAUUUUGUCACUUGGAUUUGAAAUAUGAUUGAUUUUUUUCUUCUAAAACAUCAAUUUUCAUGAAAAAGCAUGUUGUUUGGUUGGAAUUCUCUCAAUCAAAUUUAAUUCAUGAACUUAGUGUCUUAGGAAAUUAUAAAUUCAUGUGAAUUGUUAGACUAACCUCAAAGCAAAAGAAAAUUGCAAGUUCAAGAUGAUUUACAGGAAAACAAGUCCAAACAAACAGACAAAACUGAGGAGUUGAUGGCACCACUAUUUAGGAGAGGAUAGUGAAAACAAGGAGAAUGAAAUUUUGUGUUCUCCUAAAAAUGGUGGUUAGUUUUAAUUUUCUUUUUCAUUCUUUCAAAAUAUUAUACAAACUUCCUAAAAAUAUUUUUUUUUUGACUUGAGGACAAGUCAAGUACUUAAGUUGGGGGGAGUGUGUAUAACAAUUUGAAAGAAUGAAAUUUUGCUGUAUUUUAAAACUUUAUGUUGUUUUUGCUGUAUUAUUAAUUCCUUAGUGUGUUUAUUUUUAUUUUCAGUAUGCUUACUUGUUAAAAUUAUUUUUUAGUGUGUUUAUUUUAUUUUCUUUUUGAAGAUUUAUUUAAAAAGUGAAUUUGUUGAAACUAAACAAAGUAAAUAAACAAAAACUUGGCCUAAACAUUUUUCAAGAUCAAUGACUUUGUAAAUUACAAGCUUUGAUGAGCAACAUGAGAUGAAAAAUUGAAAAUUUUGUGAAUAAUUCAUAAUGUUAUAACUUGGAUAAAAUGCAAACUUUUUGGAAAAUCAUGUAUCAUGACCUUGUGAAUUUGUUUAAAAAUCAAAGAGUUGUACAUAAACAAACCUUGUGAGGGAGUGUAAGCCAGACAAAAUAAUUAUGUGAGCUUUGUGAGAAAGUUUUUGGUUUUGCGUGAUUUUGUUUGAAUCUUCCUUUACUUGGUUGCGCACAUCCUAAUCGAUGCCCUCAUCCUGGUUGUAGCCUUUGGCCACUAAGUGAGCUUUAUUUCUGAUUAUCAAUUCAGAUUCAUCCAAUUUAUUACGAAAGACCCAUCUAGUAUCAAUCACUAGAUGUUCUUUAAGCUUAGGGACCAAGUCCCAUACAUUAUUACGCUCGAACUGGUUUAGCUCUUCUUGCGUAGCUAUACCCCAAUGCACAUCCUCAAUAGCCUCAUCAAUUGUCUUAGGCUCGAUUAGAGAUACAAAAGCUACAAUGUUACAAAAGUUACAUAAAGAUCUACGGGUUACCACCCCCGUAGUUAUAUCACCUAUCACUUUGUCGAGUGGAUGAUCCUUCUUGGUCUUCCACGCGAUUGGCAAGUCCUGAAGCUCAUCUUGUAUAGUUUGCUCUGCUUCUGCUUCUUUGUCCUGGUCCAUGUUCUUAGAGUAUGCUUCUUGCCAAGCACCUACAACAUCAUCUUAGAAUACAUUCCUCUUCUCUUUUGGAGAAGAUUCGUCAAAAUGGACAUGCACAAACUCUUCUACUUGCAUUGAAUACUUAUUAAAGAUUCGAUAAACUUUACUAUGCAAUGAAUACCCCCAAAAUAUACCCUCAUCAGCUUUUGAAUCAAAUUUACUUACAACUCUUUUUCCAUUAUUUAAUAUAAAGCAUUUACACCCAAAAGCUUGAAAAUGAGAAAUAUUAGGUCUACAGCCUUUUAAAAGUUCAUAAGGAGUUUUUGAAAAGGUAGGCCUCAAGAGUAUACGAUUAAUCACAUAGCAAGUUGUAUGCAAUGCAUCAGCCCAAAAAUAUUUGGGAACCUUGCUUUCAUUUAGCAUUGUUCUAGCAAACUCCUCUAAGACUCGAUUCUUCGUCUCAACAACUCCAUUUUGUUGAGGGGUGCGAGGGGCCAAAAAUUGAUGCAUAAUACCAUAUUUAUUACAGAAUUUAUCAAAUAAAUGGUUUUCAAAUUCGCCACCAUGAUAGGAUCGAAUAUAUAAUAUCUUAUGAUUAAACCGGUUUUGGAUUUGCUUGGCAAGGUUUUUGAAAGGCUUAAAAGCAUCGCUCUUGGACGAAAGAAAUAAUGUCCAUGUAAAUCUAGAGAAAUCAUCAACGAUCACUAAAGCAUAAAAGCUACCACCAAAACUCAUAACCUGUGAUGGUUCAAACAAAUCCAUAUGGAGAAGCUCCAAAGGUCGUAUUGUGGAUAUCACAUUCUUUGUAGCAAAAGAUUUUUUAACUUGUUUACAUCUUUGACAAGUAUCACAAGUUUCUUGAGUUUUAAAAUCAAGUUUUGGCAGCCCAUUAACCAAAUUAUUUUUAGACAAUUUAUCUAUAUGCUUUAUAUGAAUAUGAGCGACACGCCUAUGCCAAAGCCAUAUUUUCUUUAUAAAUUUCCCGAAUUUGCGAACGAGAAGGCCCAAAGUUUCUUCGUCUAUAUCUGAAUCAGAUUCAUCUUCUUCUCUUUCUUCUAUGGAUUGAGAUGUUGUUGCCUUGAGAGAUAUACUUUUCUUUUUGCGAUCUGAUUCUUCGUGCAUAGUCAGGCGUCCCAGCUCUAUUUCGUGCUCUUGAAGUUUUCCAAACAAUGUCGACAAAGGCAUGGAGUCAAGAUCCUUUUAUUCCAUAAUAGCUGUUACUUUUGGUUGCCAUCUCCUGUUAAGAUAGUGUAAAACUUUGUCAGGGCAUUUAGCUUGGCACACUUGACUUCGCUAGUGCCUUCGUGAGUCACUUAUAAAGUGUCCCAUAUUUCUUUAGCACUUUGGCACUGCGAAACCCGAAAGAACUCAUCAUAGGAUAGGGCCGAUGUGAUGAUAUUUUUGGCACACAGGUUAUACUAAACCUUUUUGCGUUCAUCAUCGGUCCAUAGACUUUUCGGUUUAUCUUUCGGUUCAUCGUCCACUAAAUGUUGUGGAACGAAGGGCCCGUUGACUACAGAUUCCCAAAUAUCCGAGUCGAUGGCCAGUAUAAAGAUUUUCAUGCGAACUUUCCAGUAGGCAUAUCCUUCCCUAAGGAUCAUGCAAAUACGGUUGAGCUAACAUGUCGUACUAGUUCUGAUACCACUUGUUAGGUAUCAGUGACAUAAUACACCUAGAAGGAGGUUGAAUAGGUGUCGCGGUUUCCACUUACCGCUAUUUGCACCAAAGCCCUAUUCUGGAAACUUGCCCAGUUAAUCGAUUAAAGUUAUGACUUAAUCGAUUAAGUUGCAUAGAAUAAGCAGUUGCUGACUGGCUUAAUUACACAACCAAUUACAUAUAGCAGAUAUAUUUGAACACAAAUGAUCUUUAUUUGGCAGUGAUGCUAUAUUCAAAAUAUUAGCUAGAAUAGGCAAUUAAAACUACUAAAAACAGUAAAGAGAUAAAGGAAAGAAACAGCCUGCAACAAGGUUUUUAUAUUGGUUCAUUUUGCAGUCCACUACAAAACUACAUCCAGUCCUCCCCUUUGAUCCGGGAGAUUUUUCUUCACUAAAAUUGAAACCAAUAUGCCUUACAAACACACUUCCAAUUACAAGACCUUGAACGCUCCUUUCUUGAGUUCCCAGAACCUAUACCUUGGUUUGACCUUACCCAAUUGCCUAGGAAAACCUUUCCUAUGAUCCAGCCCUAGCCAAGAGUAUGCUCUAAACUCAAGACCUCCAAGUCUUUGUGAAGACUCUCUGAUCUCUUUGGUGGUACGACACCAAGAGACCCAAGAGACGACUUCCCUUGUUACACAAACAAUAAAAAAACAAAGUAAUGUGAAGCACUAAAAUGGCUCAAAUAUAACAAGAAAGAACAAGCUAUACACCUAUACAAAUCUCACAAUUACUAUGAAUAUGUAUGAGAUAAAAAUCAUGAAUAACAUGUAAUUUUCUACCCUUAAUAGAUCUCUUAAAUAAUAGUGAAAGAAUCAUGCAAGAACAAGAUAGCAUGAAGAACACAUUUGAUAAUAUGCAAUGGAUGGUAUAUUAAUCGUAAGCACAAUACUAUCUCACUCUAAUCUCACAUGCAAUUCCCACUUCCUAUAUGACAUACAUGAACAUGAAAAUACACAACUUAACAAUUCUAAUAUGAAUGUAUGAAUGUAUAAAAUCGUAUGUUAAAUCUGUUAAAGAAACAUUUUAUAUAGAAAAGUUGUUUUUCACCCAGUUAAUCGAUUAUGUUGCAUGUUAAUCGAUUAACGGACUGUUAGAGAGUAACUGAAAUCAGUUCUACAGUUAUCGGUUGAAACUGUUUAAAAACUGUUUUCGCGUUAAUCGAUUAAAGCUUUACUUAAUCGAUUAACUGGCAUAUUUUCAGUUAUGAUGUUAAUUGGUAAACUACCUAUAUGUUAUGUUUAUCAACUAUACAUGUUUUACCUUUAUGUUAUGCCUAAAAUGCACAAAUAACAUGUAUGAUUAAUCCAUGAACAUAUAAUAAACUAGAUGGCAUGCCUCAUGUAAAUGAUAUGAUAGUUUUUAGUCUUUGUGAGAUUUAAAUCUAGGUUUACCUAACCUAGACUCAAUAACUAAGACACAUCUACGACUUUAGUCUAGACAUGAAGCUCUUGAAUCUUUGGCAUGUUGAUUUGUUGAAUUGUCUUUAAGCUUUCACUCAGUCCUUUGUUUUCAUCAAAACAUAGGCAAGCAUAAAUGCACUCUUGACACAUUGCACUUUCAAAGACUAGUGGCAUAUGGGAUUUUCAUUUCUUGGGUCAUUCAUUAUCUGGGCAUUUAUGCUUCUAAUGAGGAGAUUAUGAAUGUGAAUUCCCGAAAUAACAUGGUAAGCGGCAAUCUGAUACAUAAGAUGGGAAUUUAUAAAUAUGAUAGAAAUUGGAAGUUCCAAGAAGAUCACACCACAGUGGAUCUGUAGAUGACAUAUGAAGAACAUGUUUGUAUUCCAAAUGAGCAGAACCCAUAACAACAACAUGAUGAGGCUUCAAAUGUGCCUCAUGAACCACUAUUUGGGUUAGCUCAUCUUGACGCCUUGGAGCAAUGUCUGAUUGCUCAUAUAGACACAUGCUUUCAAUCCUUAACGGAUAGUAUGAGGGCGGAGUUCCAAAGGCAAGAGGAAAGGAUGAUUCAAGAAAUGAAGCACAUUGUCUUCAUUAGCAUAACCGUUGGCGAUUUACCUCCAUCACCUCCACCUAACAACUAGUUUAGCUUAGGAUUACAUAGUUUGUCCUAGUUAGGUGUUAGUAUGUGUGUGUGUAUUUUGAGUUGUUAUAUUUUGUAAUAUAUUUGGUUAUGUUUGCAUUCAUAUUGCCUAACGCUUAUGUCUGUAUCCGUAUUGAACUUCAUACUUCUCGUACUAUGGUUUGUAUGCAAUUUUGUUUUAAUGUUUACCAUUUUAUUUUAAUAAGUGCCCGGUAUAUGCUAUUAUUUAUUAUAUCUUAAUUAUCUGGUCAUUUGUGCUAAUUGGUAGACAAAAUGAAUGAAUAUUUACUUAAAAGUGCUUUAAAAUUGCAUAUCCUGAAACCAUAAAAUCAUUCUAAUUAUGGUGCAUGAUAGUCAAUUAUUGUGAUGAGAUAAUCGAUUAUUAUCAGUAAACAUUGUUAAUUUGUUCAAUUCUUUUAAAUUGUUUGAUCAAACAUAACAGUUUCUGAUUUGAUUAAGUCAACAUAUACAAAUUUAUAUCUUUCCUUACUUUUGGCAAUAUUAAUCAUAAUAUUUCAUUGUUUUUUUAUCAUGCCAAAAGGGGGAGAAAGUGUUUUGAUAUUUUGCAGGUUGUGUUUAGAUAUGCUUCUGUAAACCUAGUUAUAGGGGGAGAUGAGAUGUGCUACCUAUACUAUCUCCUAUUCAGAUUGAAGGGGAGAGAAUGAAGUGAGGGGAAGCGGAGUUUUAUCAUCACAACCUUAGAAAAUCAUUGUUCAUCAUCAAGCUUAUCGAGUGAAUGUUUUUGAACUCUAUCAAAGUUUGUCAUUAUCAAAAGGGGGAGAUUGAUAAUGCAAUAGGACUCAAACAUUGCAAGUGUGGUAAAUGUACUUAGUUUUGACAAAGACAAUAACUUGAACAAGACAAAGAUUAUGUGAAAGCUUAAAGAUGAAGUUAACAAAGCAACAUGCCAAGACUCAAGGUUAUCAUAGAUUUAGGAUUCUUUUAUAUUUUAUAGAAGUCCUAAGUUGAUUGCUUAAUUUGAGUCUAGUUUAGAGGAACCUAGGAUGAAGGCCUCUAAAGAACUAAACUUGACUUAAUUAAGAUUGAGACAUUUCAUUCAUUCAUCCAUACAUGAUAAUAUAAUGUUCAUGCAUUGCACAUUCAUGAUUUAUUGCAUAAAAUGCAUAUAUUUUGAAUUCAUAUAUUGCAUAUACAUUCAUCAUGUAGGAGGUUCAUUCUUUAUAUCAAAGAAACUACUUUUCAACUCUCUUAAUUGACUAGCUUAAGAUGACAAUCCAUUUUAUUUUUAUGAAAUCUGAUAAUCGAUUAUGCAUAGUGAUAAUUGAUUAUUUAGAGUUCCAAUAACUAAAUAAUUUGUUCUUAUAAUAUCAAAAAUCAAUUAUCCAAAUUAAUAAUUGAUUAUGUCCAUUAGAUAUCUUGGUUUCAGCAUAUCAAUAAUCAAUUACCAGUCUAGAUAAUCGACUAGAUCAACAAAAAACUAUUUUUUAUAAAAAUUGUUUUUCUUCUCAUUGGUUCAGAAUUCGAGUGUUCAAAAUUUCAUAUUUUUCUAUGAACUCUUUGAGUGAAAUCUUCUGUGAUUUGAGUUAGUGUUUCUUUGAGAAUCAAGAGAUAAAAGUUAGCAAAAUUUUAUAUCUUUGAGAAAGUGCGUAUUGAUAAAACCUUGCAUAAAUCAUAUUAGAAACUAGGAGUUAUUGUAUGAUUUUGUUAUUGGGUUUUAGGUUUGAGAUCAUAGUCAUAUUAGCACAUUUACGUGCAUUAUUACUUAGAUUUAAUUUUUCAAUUUAGUUGAGGUAUUUGAAGGUUCUCAUGUGUCUUGAGAACCCAGUGUAAAUUCCUAUUUGCGAUUGGGUAGAGAUAUUCACUAUUACAAGGUUCUUGGAAGUUAGUUAGGAUUGGUUGGGGCUAGAACCAUAGGUGGUGAGGAUUAUCCAUAGAGGGUUUAGGGCCUAACUGAUCAAGGAUCUCUAUUGUCCAAGAAAGAAAGUUUUGUAUUGAUUGGAAGUGUGUUUUAUAAAAUAUAUUGAAUUUCAUAGCGAAGAAAAAUAUCUCAAGAUCAGACAGGGAGGUCUGGAUGUAGUUUGCAAGUGGACCCACAAAUGAACUAGGAUAAAAUUCUUGGUGCACUUUUCUCUAUCCUUAAUCUUUUUACUUUCUGUUUUUACAUAUAUUAGUUUUGAUUCUUUAUAAUUGCGUAUAUUGAAUCUUAAUCUGCAUAUUCUAUUUAGUAUACCAUUGUUAAGCAGUUGAAUCUUAAAGAACUAUUUCGUGAAACUUGUUCAACAAGAAGCCUAAGUUUUCCAGGAUUUCAAAGUUAUUGAAUAAUUGAUUGGUUCUAUGAAUAAUCGAGUAUCUGAAGUGAAUAAUUGAUUAACAUUUUAAAUAAUCGAUUAUCAUGAUGUCUAUUUUGAUAUUUGUGAUAAACCGGAAAAGUGUCUAUAUUGUAUUACUUCACCUAUUCACCCCCUCUAGGCGUGUAUACUCUGAUUUUACCCCAACAUCCCUAACAUCUAGUGCUCCUUUAUCCACAUCAACGGGUAGGUGUAUGAGUGAUAACCGACAUGAAAUUGGUAAGCAAUCACAUUUCGAGUCAUUCUUCGCAAGAAGUUUGAUUUCAGUUAUGUUCUUUUAUGAUUUGGCAUCUUUCAUGGCUAAUGUCAUAUGAUUAUCUGUGACUAUCUUCCACUUGUGAUCUUGGGAAUCAUCCAAAGAAUCUAGACUUUCUCUUUCAUUUAAAUUGUUGUAUUGUUCAAAACUUUUAAGUGGAGGUUUAGUAUAGAGAAGCACGUUUGAAUAAUGCCAACAAAUUUCUUUGGCUUCUCCAUUAAAUUUCCACUGGUCAUUUCCUAAAAAAUAGCCUUAGGUACAAAAUAAGAAAGAAAAUUGGACUAGUUAUUAAAAUCCUUGGUGGUGCUUUCGAUGGAAUCUUUUCUUGUCACAAACACUCUCCUCACAGUUGUAUCAUUAUUCUCACCAAGAAGCUUUUCUCCCUCGUUUCCCCAUUUAGAUUUUUAAUAUUUUUUUCCUAUCUUGGGUAAUCAUCGAAGCUCUUUCCUUCUUUUCAUUGUUAUUCCACACUGUUGGUCUGAAGGUGGAGGGACUUCUCCUUGUUGAACUCAUCAUCUUGAGUUGUUGAUUCACUUGGGUGGUCAUUUGCAUUAAAUCCUCAAACUCUAUGUACUCCUGAAGUUCAACAACAUCACGAAUUUCAUUGUUAAGUCCUCUAAGGAGUCGAGACAUAGUUACCUCCUAAUUUUCAUUGAUGUUGGCUAGCACCAUUCUUACCUCCAUGUCCUUGAAGUAAUCAUUGAAACUUCGAGUUCUUGGGUCAUAUUCUGAAGUUUGAGUCGGAGAUCCCUACUAUAUCUCGGCAACAAAUACCUUUUUCUCGUGUUUCUUCUGAUUUCUUCCAAAGUAUCCACCAAUGUUUCCUCAUCUAUUGUUCCAUAAUAAUAGAGUAUAUCUUAAUAACUUAGUCAUCAAUAACAUUACCUUCUACUCCUCGAUGUAUUGGUUGCAUGAAAAUACAUGUAAUAUUUUGAACUUCCAUUCCAAUUAUGCCUAUGGGUGAUUCUUACCUCAAAAAAUGGAAUAUUCAAAUUUAAUCCCUCCAUUUGGAUUUGCCUUGAAAGAUCCUCAUAGCCUUCUCUUAUUCCUCCCAUUCUCCUUUCCUGCAUGAAAACAUUGUCCAAUAUCUCAAAGCCUUCACAAAAUUUUGCGGCUUGUUGUCAAAGGAUCUCCUCAAAUUAUUUAGUUAAGACCCUCAUUUUGUUGACAUCCAAACCUUCACAUCCACCUAGAAUAAAUUCCUGACUUUCUUCAUCCGCCAUCUGCAACAAACACUAGUAAUCACAAAAUCAUAUCUUCACCUUUCUCCCUUAGCGUGUUUCACUCAAACUCAAGUCUAUGAUCUAUUUCUAGAUUUUUAAAUAAUGUUCUCUCUUGCCUUUUACCACUCAAGUGUUCUCUUGAAGUACUCAACUAAAUCAAUAAGGGACGAAAGUAUGACUGAAUGACCAAAAUGUUGGUCAGGGAAAGUGGACCACGAUGGGUUGUGGGUGAUUUUCUAGAGGCGACCACUAUUUGGGGCGUGUCUCAGGGCAGACUGUGUACUAUCACAAUGCAGACCAUUAAUUUCAGCCUUUCCAAAAUAGUUUUCCACACAACAAAACCAUAUGGAUAUAACGAGAUUUUGAACAAUAAAUUAUUUUCUUUUUUUCUUAUUAUAUAUUUUCUUUUUUUAGGCCAAACUUUUGGAUUGAUUCAUGCAAUACAAGUAAACUCAAAGAAAAUGAUAAACUAGAAAAAAUAAAGUGUUAUCAACAAAAGUAUGAUGCUUCAUAUGCCCUCCAUAGAGCUUACUCUAGAUAUCAUUUUAUGUUAAUCUCCUUCGGAUAUCUUUGAGAAUCACCACUCUAGCGGAAAGCUUAAGUGUUUGGACAUUUAAGAGUUAUUGGUUUGCUAAAAUAACGAUUAUGCACAAAACGUAAAUAGUAAGGUAAAAAAUGGAUUAGUGUAAGGUAAUAAAUGAAAUAAUAGAUUUCGAAUGGUGUGACAAGCAAGAAUGGUUUAUAAACUAGUGGUUAGACACCAUGAAGGGUGAUUAGACCAAGGAAAACACUCUCAAAAUAUGCAUUAAGCAAUAGUUUAAGAAAAAGAUACAAGUUGUUCAAUUCAUGAAAUAUGAGUUAAAUAUAAAUGGAAUCUAUCUAGACAAGAAGACAACCACCAUAAUGGAAAAGCAUGUUCAAGAAAGUCUUAAAUGCUUUGUCUCCCACUUAGUGCCUCUAAAGCAAGGAAGAGGAAAAGCGGGAAAACUCACAAAUCAAAAUUAAAAAUGUUGGUUCAAGCUAGAAGGGUCUAUAACCAUUAAUCAAAAAAGGAAAUUAUAAUUAUUCAUAAAAUUGUGAGAGAACAAAAUAAUCGAAAUGACGCACAACCAAACUGUGUGGUUUCCGAUGGUCGUUGGCCCCACACAAUGGGAAAUACAUCAUGGUCAUCUUCUAGGACACAACCAUGCUGACAAGAACUCUUCCCUUAGCCUCUUGGUGUUAAUUGUUUAUUUCUUUGAUCCUAUAAAGAUUUUUCUUGAUACUUGAAAACCCUUAAUUGGUUAUGAGUAGUUUACCUUUGUCUCUUUAAUCAAAUGAUAUUUAGAGGAUCAUAUCAUCCCCUCCUUCAUGAAGAAUAUUUUCUCUAAUAUCUAGUGCUCAUUUAGCCACGUCAAAAGGUAGGUGUAUGAGUGAUAACCUAAAUGAAUUGGUAAGCACUCACAUUUCAAGCCAUUCUUCGCAAGAAGUUUGACUUCAGUUAUAUUCUUUGUUGCUUCAACAUCUUUCAUGUUUAACACCAUCUCAUGAUAUAUGAUUAUCUACCCCUUGUGAUCAUGGGCUUCAUCCAAAGAAUUUGGAUUUUCUAUUUAAUUUAAAUUUCUAUAUUUCUCAUAAUGUUUAAACAUAGCUUUAGUGUAGAGACGUUCGCUUGGAAUAAUGCCAUUGACUUUCUUUAGCUUCUCCAUUAAUGUCCCACAUGUUAUUAACUGCAAAAUAGACUUAUGCACAAAAUAAGAAAAAAUUAGACUAGUUAGUAUAAUCCUUCAUGGUGCUUUUGGUGGGAUCUUUUAUUGUCACUAACACUCUCCUCACAGUUAUAUCACUAUUCUCACCAAGAAGUAUUUUGCUCUUUUUACCUUUUUUCUAUUUUUACUAAUUUUUCCUAUCUUGGUUAAGUUUUUUUUUUUCUUCGGAUUUUCACUUGAUAUUCAAUCACCUCUUUCGGGGACAAAGCAUUAAGAAUUAUCUUUUAUUUUGGUAGGGGAAAGUAAUUUUUUUGGUGAAGCCAUCAUAAAUGGCUAAGGUGUCAUUCUGGCAUGGUUGCCCUAAAAGAAUAUGACUGGUAACCAUAGGAACUAUAUGGCAUAAAACAUUGUCAUAAUACUACCAUGUGGACAGAGAUAACUCUUAUUGCUCAGUCACCCAAACCUCCCAAUCAUCACCAUGACAUUCUGGUUUAUAAGAUUUAGGGUGUGGUUUGGUGCUUAAAUUUAGGUUCAACUCUAAUCAUGCACUAGCUACAUUUGGACAACUCCCCCUUCAUUUAUUAGAGUACAAAAAUUCUCAUCCAUUAAACACCUUGUAUUGAAAAUGUUAUCUCUUUGGGUUUUAUCUAACAUAUGUACUUGACUUCCUAAAAUUAUCCUAAUAAUAAAGAAAUAUCCCCUCAAUGGAUCAACUUCUUCCUCAUAAUCACUAGUGUAUUCCCCGUUUCCUUAAGAAUAAUGACUCUUUUCGUUGCAUACUCAUGAGCACAACGCACUCUAUCCUAACAUUAAAGCAUUUCUUACCACUAGACUUGCUCAUAGGAGGUGACUCAUUUGUUUUCAUUGGGGACUUUCCACAAGAACUAGAAGUUUUAGGACUAGGUAGUGAAGCUCUCUUCUGUUUUUUUUUUGUUAUUCCACAUUGUUGGAUUGAAUUUGGAUGAAUUUCUCCUUGUUGAACUACUUAUCUUGAGUUGUUGUUCCACAUGGAUGACCAUGUUCAUUAAAUCAUCAACCUCCAUAUACUCUUAAAGUUCAACAACAUCAUGAUCUCGUUGUUAAAUCCACUAAGGAACCGAGGCAUAGUUAACUCCUUAUCUUCGCUGAAGUUGGCUAGCAUCAUUAUUACCUCUAUGUCCUUGAAGUAAUAAUUGAUACUUCAAGUUCCUAGGAACAUAUUCUGAAUUUUGAUUCAAAGAUGCCUAUAGUAGAUGAGUGAGACAUACCUCUUUCUCGUGAUUCUUCUUAUCUCUUUUCGAGUAUCCACCAAUGGUUCCUCAUCUAAUAAACUUUCUCUUUGGUAGUUUUUAUAGAACAUCAAAGCAUAUCUUAAGAACUUAGACGUAGCUAACUUUACCUUCUACUCCUCAUUGUAUUGGUUGCAUGAAAUACAUAUAAUAAUUUUAACUUCCAUUCCAAGUACGCCUUUGCGUAAUUUUACCUUGGAAAGAUGAAAUAUUCAGCUUAAAUCCCUCAAUUUGGAUUAACCUUGCCACUUCGUCAUAGCAUUCCCUUCUUCCUCUCCAUCUCAUUUCCUACAUCAAGACAUUGUUCAUUUUCUCAAAGGCUUCAUGAAAUUUAUCAGCUUGUUGUUUAAGGAUCUUCUCAAGUUGUUAAGUUCAGGGCCUCAAUGGUUGAGAAUCAAAACUUUGCUUUCACCUACGCUAACUUCUCAACCUUCCUCAUCCGUCAUCUAUAACAAACAUUCACAAUCACACAAAAAUGUAUCUUGACCUUACACCCUUUAUCAUGUUUCACGCAAACUCAAGUGCAUGCACUCUUGUUUGGAUUUUUCAAUAAUGUUUAUUCUUGUCCUUUACCACUCAAUUGUUCUCUAAAAGUUGGCAACUAAAUCUAUUAGGGGCGAAAGUAGAAUUGAAUCAGCAAAAUUUUGGUCAAGUAACUACACCUUUGGUCAUUUUAUUUUCCAUUUUUCUUAUGAUAUCUUUUUUUUUUUCGAGGCCUAACGUAUGCAACGGUUCAUGCAAUACAAGAAACCUCAAAGAAAACGAUUAAAUAGAAAACAGAAAGUGUUACCAACAAAAGCUUGAUGCUUCAUAUGCUCUCCCUAUAACUGACUCUAGAUACAAUUUUAUGUGAACAUCCUUAAGAGAUUCUUGAAAAUAGUUGCUCUAGCGAAAAGCUAGUAUUUGGACAUUUAAGGAGUAUUGGCUUGGUAAUACAACUAUUAUGCAUAAAAUGUAAAUAGUAAGGUAGAAAAUAGAUUAAUGGAAGGUAGAAAAUGGAUUAAUGGAAGGUAGGAAAUAAAUGAUGGAUUGCAAUUAGUGUGACAACCAAGAAUUGUUGAUCAUCUAGUGGUUAGACACCACGAAGGGAGAUCAGGCCGAGGAGAAUGCUCCUCACAAUAUACAUUAAACAGUAGUUUAAGAAAAAAGAUACAAUUUGGUUGAUUCAAAAUAUCUGAGUUAAACAUAGUGGGAAACUAUCUAGAGAAGAAGGCAGUCACCAUAAUAAAAAAGAAAGUUCAAGAAAGUCUUAAAUGACAAGUCGCUACUUGGUGCCUUUGGGAAAAGGAAGAGGCAAAGAUGAAAGCUCAUACAAUCAGAAUUUAAAACAUUUCUUCAACUAGAAGAGCUUAUUACCAUUUAUCGAAAAGGUAAAUUACAACUAUUCAUAACAUUAUGAGAAAACUGAAGAGCUAGUGUGACACACAAUCCGACUGUGUACUUCUAUACAACCAUGGGGAUACCCAAUGGGCAACAUAUCUUGGAAGUGUUCUGGGACAUAACCAUUUCGACACGAACUCCUUCCUUGGCUUCUUGGUGUCGUUUCUUUAUUGAUUUGAGCCUACAAAGGUUGUUAUUGGUAUUUGAAGACCAUUGAUUUGUUAUGAGUAUUUUGUCUUGAUCUCUUGUAUCAAAUGAUCUUGUGAGGAUCACAUCACCAUUCAUCUUUAUUACAAUAACAUUUGUCUUCAUCCUCAUACUCAACAUCAUCAUCAUUCAUCCUCUACUCAAUUACCAUUCAUCGUCAAUCAUUUUUCAAACCUCAUAACCACAAACCCUAAAACACCAUGCUUUAUCAACCCCAUAUCUUACUCUAACUCAUCUUCUUUAUCAACUCGGUUCCCAUAACCUAAACCCCACCAUCUUGGUUCCCCUAACCCCAAACCACAUCAUCCAUUCACUAAACACUACCUAAACAUAUUAGAAUGGAAAAUUAAAAUGUUUGAUGAGUCAUGUUAAUAGGUUACUACCCAUUAACUUUGGGUCUAUAUAAACACAUAGAUAAGGAGACACAAGUAGACAUGAGAUAUACCUCAACAACUGAUGCAACACUCCUUUCGUGAUCCUUGUUGAAUGAUUGUUAUAGUGGAACGCUUAUAUAUUUGGGUGUUUAGGAGUAUAUGAUUGUAACCUAACUAACAUGCAGUACCAUAAAAACAAGGUUGGGGAUGGAUUUUUGGAAGGUAAGAAAUAGAAAUGGUGAAUUCAUGUGGUGCAAGAAUUGAUGAUACCAGAUAAACAAUGAUUAGACGCUAUGAAUGGUGAUUAGAUUGAUGAUAAGACUCGAGAUCGAUUCAUCUAAGAACCAAGGAUAUCACUCCUCACAAUAUGCACUAAGAAAUAUCUUUAAGCUAUAAUUCAAUGUGUAUUCAUUCAGCAGUUUUGGUAUGAUUUUCCAAGUUUGGUGCACGAAAGAUGUUUUCUUUUUAUACUAAUCAUGUAAAACCCUUGUAUCAUAUUACCUUGGUCGACCCAAAAGGACAUGGAUAACUUCCAUGGGUACUACAUAACACUACACUUUGUAACUAUAAUUUCAUAUGGAUAGCUCUAGUUCAAGUUGCAUUGGCACAACUCCCCCUUCAACUAUUAGUUAACAAAUGUUCCUACUUAUUAAGCACCUAGUAAGGAAAAUAUUCUCUCCUUGGGAGUUCUCACCAUCUCUCACUACAUUACCCAAAAGUCUCCUAAUCAUGAAGAGAUCUCUACUCAUAGGGACAAAUUCUUCCUCACUCUCAAUCCCUUUCAACUCUCCGUUAUCGAAUUCAAUAGUGUAAUCUCCAUUGUCUUUGAGAAUGAUCACCCUCUUUAUUGAGCACUCAGAAGCAUAAUGCCCUCUUCCUGCACUUUUGAAUUACUUCUUUCCACAUGAACCACUUUUGGUUGGUGAAACACUCCUUUUUGCUAGGGUUUUCUAUGUUGUGUAGAUGUAUUGGAGCUAGAGGGCAUAGUUCUCGAUUUCCAAGAAUUCACUUGAAUCCUCAUUGUCCUUUUUGUUUCGACAUGGGUGACUAUGUGGAGUAGGUCCUCCAUCUCCAUGAAUUCAUCUAACUCAACAACAUCUUGUAUAUCAUUGAGAAAACUCACCAUAGUGACCUUCUUAUCUUCAUUAAUCCUUGCCUGCAUCAACGUUGCCUCCAUAUCCUUGUAGUAAUCUUCAACAAUCGAUGUGCCUUGAGUUAAUUUAUAAAGCUUAAGUUAAAGCUUCCUAUUAUAACUUGGAGAUAAAUAUCUCUUUCUCAUGAUAUGCCUCAUCUCCUCCGAAGUAUCUACAUUGGUUCUUCCUCUUGCAUCCUCUCACGUUGAUACUUGUUCUACCUAAUCCAUGCAUAUCAAGAAAACUAUGUGGCUACAAGCUUCACCUUUAGUUCUUUCGUGAGAUUGUUACAUGAGAAGACAUGAGAAAUUUUCAAUUUCUACUCGAAGUAUGCCUCUGGGUCAUUUCUCCCUUAGAAGGGUGGAACGUUGACUUUGAUUCCUUCCAUCCAAUUCUGCCUUGGGACCUAUCAGAAUCAUAUCUUCUUCAUUUUCACCUCCUUUUCUCCGCAAGUUCAUUUUCUUUUUGUUCCUACUCCUCAUAGAAUUGGCUCGUUUUCUUCUUCUUUCCUCCGCAAGAAUGGUCUUGAACUACUUAUUCAAAAAGGGAAACUAAAAUUAUUCAGAAAAUUGCAAGAAAAACGUAAAGUUGCCUGACCACACAGGCAUGCCUUGGAUGGACCCACGGCUCGUGUUAGCAUGACUCCUUAAACUUCUCAAUUAAAAGCAUUGCUCUUGUCUCCAAGUUGUCUUCCUUUGGUUGGGCUUCAAUUAGGACCAUCACAACUUGUUGUUAUCUAUCUUCGGCUCUUCUUAUUCUUGACAUGGGUCCUCCUAAGUAUUUUAGUUCCUGGUGUUGCUUGUCAUUGUCCAUGUCCAUGUCCACAUUAGUGAGUAUGAAAUAACUAGCCAAAAAAUUAAAUUAGAAAGAAAUUAAAAGCAACUCUAAAUUGAAAACCGACUUUAAAAUUAAAUAAAAAUAUUUGAGUAUUACAUGGGAGUUAUUUCAGUACUUCACGAUGGUUCAUAUCUAUAAUUGUAGCCUAACCAGAAACAACCAAAGGUAAUCGUUGAAAAUUUUGCAUAUAAGCCUUCCCAACUAACGAGAGACUCAACAGAAUCCAUACACAAAGGGGGUGGAAUAACAAAAAUGAAGGAAGUGAUAUGAAUUUUAGAAAACUCAUAAAUGAUAUGUGUGUUAAUGGCUUCCACAAAAAUUCACUUAUCACUACAUCAAACCGGGCUUCUCCCACAUGUAUUUUUUAUAUUCAGAUAGGUUGUUGGCAACUUGGCGAAAUAAACUUUUAUGUUGGAACAUAUGCAUGUCAAAAUGAAUUUUUACCUAAGGUAAGUGUCUAUCGCAAUUUAUUUUUACAUUCGGACAUGUGUCUGUCAGAAUGUAUAUUUACACUCAUACACGUAUGUCAAACUAAUUUUGCAUUUAUUCAGAAUGUAUUUCACCAUUUGCAUUCAAACAUGUGCUUGUUGGAUUGUAUUUUUACACGCAAAAAAUGGGGUACAAAAUUAAAAAUAAAUUGAGUAGAAAAAGCAUCUCCAAAUUAUUAGCUUCGGUCUAGGUUGGGCCAUAUCAAGAUUAGUCGAAUUAUGAGAGGAAUGCAUUCUCACCUAUAAAUAUUAUAAAGAUAAAAAGGGAUUGGACUCAUUUCAUUUUAUCUACGCUACUCAAAGUAGUUUUAUAACAAAUAGCUUUGAAAUGCUAUAGGUUCACUUCAAAAAUAAUUAUAAACUAGCAUCUCCAAGUAAUUUUUGUUUAGUGAGUGAUUCUGGUAAGUUAUUAACUUAUUCAAAAUGUUACAAACUUCCUUAAAACUCCUAGUUCAUUAUGUGGAACAAUACCAUAGUAAUAAAGAACAAAAUUGUGGGUAAAUACAAUUUUGAUCAUUAUAAAUAUUAGUUGUUUAAAUUCCAUAUGUAAAAACAAAUUUGAGCUUAAUUAUGAACUUUCCUUUUCAUUUUAGUUUGGUCUAGAACGUCAAGUUUGGAAGGAAUGUGGUGACAUCGCUUAAUAAAGUUGGCGUAAACAACAUGUGAUUAUAAGACCAAAAUAAAUAAAAAACUCCUUACUUUAUUAUAUAAAUUUAAAUCCUAAUUUACAAAAGAAAACAAAAAUUAUCCCUUUAUAAAAAAAUUAUAAAUUUUCGUGGAUUACUACCUUUUUCUACUUUAUUCUUCCCAUUAUUAGAAUUACCAACAUCUCUACUUCAUUAUCACCUUUAUCUCAAUCAUCUACAAUGUAUUCAUUUUCUCUGAAGAGGAACGUGAAUACAUAGCACUCACCUAAAACUUUCUCAUGGAUAAAAUGCAUGUUUACUACUCUCGGGUGUCGACCGCGAGAUUCACAAUCAUAAUCCAUUAGUUGCCACUCCCAUAAACAAACGACUUCAUAUUGGAGGAAGUGGGGAAGAAGAGAAUGAAAUUUUGUUUUAAAAUAGAUUUGUUUUAUUUUUUAAAAAUAAAUAGAGGAUUUUUAUUUUAUUCGAAGCAUGACUUUUUUACAUAAGGCCAUCUUGGUGCGGAUUAGACUUGAUACAUAAGGCCAUGUUAGUAUUUUUUUUAUCUAAACUUGAUACAUCAAUGAUUAAAAUUAAAAUGGAAAAUAAAUUUAUAGACCAAAACUAAAAAAUUAAAUGCAAGAACAAAUCUCAAAAAAAUCAAUAUAUAUAGGCACCAAAAACCUAUUUAAAAAGUGAUAUUACAGAAGAUAUUUUGGAAAAUGUGCAUUCAAAGGGUGCUACAUUUUCUAUUUUAAAGUUUUGUAUUAUUUAUGUACUAUUUGUUUCUCUUCAAUCGGAAAAGUAAAGAAAAAAUUAAUAUAUAUUAACUUUAUAUUGUUUGACCAAUAAUAACAAAAAAGUACAAGAAAUUGUAUAUAUUUUGAGAUAAAAGAUGUAUUCCUAAAACAAGUUGGGGUCAAUUUUUCAUAACUCUGUUUUUAAAGGUAUUGGUCAAUCACAUUUCUACCAAAAUUAGGGGGAAAAUCAUAUUUUCUAUUUCCCAUCCGACCAGUCUAGCUCCCUAAUUGCUUCAUUUCUUCCUUUAUACAUUUCAUCAUUUUAAGAACUAUUUAAGCAUUGCUGCCAAAUGUUCUUCUAUAAAGAAGAAAAUCACAGUUCAUAAUCAAAAUUAUACGUUAAAUAGUUUUUUCUUGAAUGAUUGAAACAAUUAAUAGAUUUUACAUAGAGAGUGAUUGAAAUGAGAAUAAUUUUUAUAUAAAAACUGUUAGAACAAUAAAUUUAAAUCUUGCAACCAUAUAUGAAUGACUAAGAAUAAAAUUUAGUUAUUAGUCACAUGAUAAUCAUGUAUACACAUUUUUUUAAUAAUGAUCGCUCCAAUAAGUUCUAAUAGUUCAUAUUAAUUGUUCAUGUUUUCAACACUAACAAUUGUUCUCAGCAUAUCAACAAAACAAUCUAGCCAACAACUUAAAACUCACUGCACAAAUUCCGUGCAUGAUAAGCUAAACAAACAUUAUUAGAACAUUUGAGUAACAAGAGCACAUAAAAACUAGGCAAUAAUGCAGUUCAUGCAAUAAGGAAAAAGAUUAAAACCAGCACAAAUACUCACACUUGAGCUAACAAGUGAAUCUCACCAAUCAACAAGGAAAGCAAGUUUUCCCUAAAAGAUGUCCUUGUUACCAUGGCAUAGACCAUUUUAAUCACUAUAGGACACCUAAAAAGCCACGUAAACUAGAUAUAUUGAGGAGUUGCUGAUAAAAGAUGAAGCAUCAAGCUUCAUCAUUAACCUUCAGUCUAGUUCAUGCCUAGAUUUUGUCAAGCGUAUUUGCCUUCAUUACGAGGUUGGCUUUAGCUAUAGCAUCAUGGAGGAAAGCCCUACAAUCUUGUUCCUGCUUAAGCAGCAUGUCCUUGUAACACUUGGAACACUUGUUCAUGGUAGCACCCUUCUGAAAAAGCCACAAAUAUUAAUUCAAAAUGAAUAUAUAGUCUUGCCAAACUAAUCUUAGAUUGUUUUAUUGAUAUGCUCUUCAGUAUAAAUAAAAUGAUCAUGUCAUUACCUUUGAAUCAACAAAACUACAACCUUUAGCAUUGGAAUUUGUAAAUUGACCAAUAACAAUGUUGGAUGGGGAUCACAUAUCUUCAUUCAUGUCUCACUUUGUGUCCUCAUCUAAUAAAAAAAUCUUAUUUAAUUGAAAAUAAAAAUUAUAUUAUCAUAAAUUAUUAUUUGUACAUUAUUCUAUGAAGCUUAAUUGACUUGGUACAUGUGAACAGGAUUUUCUUAGGACAUAUGAUCUUUAUCCAACAAUGUUAUUAUACCUAAAAAGCAUAGUGUUAUAGACAUUCAACUUAACAUAGAAAAUGAACAAAAACUAAUGGAUUAAUGUCUCAUUAGCAAAAUACCUUGUUUGGUUUAAACAUGUACAUUUAGGUUUUUUGUGACCUUUCUUCUUACAAUUACUACAAGUAGAGGGGGCCUUUCUUGAGUAGCCCAGCCCUUCAGUUGUCACAAUUGGAGGAUUACAUAAUGUUAUAGCAUUAUUCGAGUCUUUUAGGAUAAUUUGGGUUGUAGGAUUACUAAAAUCUUCCUUUGAUUCUUCAACUUCCAACUGAACAAAGUAUUUUAAUUUUUGUAUACCUUGAACUACAACAUCACGAUUCUUUUUUUACUGUUAAGCUCUUACAAAUAGUUCAAGAGAGUGAAUCGUAACAUUGUUAAACAGUUAAAUUAUACUUUUAAAUAUCUCUUUUAGAUUUGAUACGGUGUGGACAUUAGUUUCUAAUGCUUCAUUUUUUCUUGAAGAGAAUAACAUUAUUUUAUAUAUAUCUUUGAGAUUUGGUGUGGUGAGGAUAUUAGUUUAUCUUGCUUCAUUUAUCUUGAAGACAAUAUAAUUUUAAUUAUUUUAAAGAUCUCUUCAAGAUUUGAUUUUUGUAUACCUUGAACUACAACAUCACGAUUCUUUUUUUACUGUUAAGCUCUUACAAAUAGUUCAAGAGAGUGAAUCGUAACAUUGUUAAACAGUUAAAUUAUACUUUUAAAUAUCUCUUUUAGAUUUGAUACGGUGUGGACAUUAGUUUCUAAUGCUUCAUUUUUUCUUGAAGAGAAUAACAUUAUUUUAUAUAUAUCUUUGAGAUUUGGUGUGGUGAGGAUAUUAGUUUAUCUUGCUUCAUUUAUCUUGAAGACAAUAUAAUUUUAAUUAUUUUAAAGAUCUCUUCAAGAUUUGAUUUUGUACAGAUAUUAGUUUUUGUUUCUUUAUCUGUCUCGAAGAUGAAAUUUUUUUAACUAUGUUUUUAAAUAUCUCUUUGAGAUUUGAUGCAGUGCGGACAUUAGUUUCUAUUGUUUCGCCUUUCAUAGAGUGGAUAAAUAAUAGACCAAAGUUAUUUCUAAAUCAAACAAAUCAAAUCGAUCAAUAAAAUAUUUUACCUUAAUAAAUAAAUUUGUUUAAGGGCAUAAAAACCUAUGCUAUUAGUGAGGGUACCAUUUUAUGACAGGAGAACGAAGUGCUAAUAUUUUCCUUGAUCCAUAAUUGCCUCUCGAGCUCAAAAUCAUGUUCAAAAGACCACGUUAUCCAAUUUGGGCUUAAAAGAGAGUUUUUUUAUGUUUUAACCGCAAAAAGUGGUAACUUCAAAUCAUUUGGGAGAAGUGGAACUCAAGUGCACCUCUUUCUAAAUCAUAGAGCCGGUCUUCCUAAGUCAAUCAUUGUGUCCCAAUCAGACUCAAAAUCUUCAAUAGUAAUUGAUUGAUGAAUGCGCCUAUCGAAUUGAUUUUUAAAUUCAUCUUGUUCGUCAUAAAUAUAUGAUUCAAGUACUAUAGAGCUUUUUUAUCAAUAUGCCACAUACAAUAAUGACGACUAAUCUUUAGAAGCACCCUUGCAAUUUCAUUGGUGAUAGUAGAAUCUUAUACUGUGAUAAUUGAUUGAAGACUAACUCCAGACAUUGCUUCUAUACAAGUAUUAAUAAUCAAACGUAUAUUUCUUAUGUUUCAUCCCAUAAUAGAACACAACAAAAAAGAAUUGAUUGUUGAAGAUGAUUAACUCCACUAAAUUGAACAAAAGGCAUUAUGUAUCUAGUAGUUUUAAGUAUGUAGGAUUAAAAGUUACUACAUCACCAAAAUACUUGUAAGCCAUUCUAGAUAAUCAAUCCAAAAUCAAUUUUCAAAUUUUCCUUCAAAAUCCAUGUUGGAUUUAUUCAAGUGUGAAGUCUCACAUUGGAUAUGCGGGGAGGAGUGAAAGAGCCUAUAAUUAGAAAAGACCAUAGAACUAAUGUCUUAAGGUUUUGGUUUAAGACGUGAUGUCUCAAUUUUUGCUCUUCAAUCUUCCCACACCCUAGUAACAAUGGAACUCCCCGAUGGUUAGAGGUUUCUCGGCAUAGUCUAGUCCAACAAGUGGUAUCAGAGCUGAUGGUUUAGUUGAGACAUAAUGGACUUACGGGGGAGUGGACUGGAAAGUGUGUGAUACCCACACUUUAGGGGGAGAUUGUUGGGUUUAUUCAAGUGUGAAGUCUUACAUUGGAUAUGCAGGGAGGAGUGGAAGAGUUUAUAAGUAGAAAAUGUCCAUAGAACUAAUGCCUUAAGGUUUUGGUUCAAGACAUGGUGUCUCACUUGUGGCUAGAGAUGUCAAAACGGGCCGGUCCGCCAAAGCAUGAAAAUUUAUAGGGCUUGGGUAUCAUAUUAGGUACUUUUUAUAGAAUCUAGGCUUUUUAGCCCGGCCCGACCGGGCUAUUUUAAAUCCAGGCUCGGGUCGGGCUUACCUGGGCGGGUUCGGGCUACUUGUUUUCCUUAUUUGUUUUAAUCUUUUUUGGGACUUUUGGCUUAGUAAUAAGCAUUAUGUGAAAACUUACAAAACAAGUUAUAAUAAAAAGUAGAUAAUAAGUAUUAUGUUAUGAACUUUGAAUAAAAAAUAGAGUAAUUCCUAAACACAAAUAUUUAUAAAUUACAAUAAUAUUAUAAAGUUAAGCAUUAUAUUAUUUUUCCUAUUUUUGUGGAAUAUCCUUUUAAUCCCAAUAACAAAAUAAUGUAUCAAAUCAAAUGAGAAAAUAUUAAAUCAUAUAGAUUUCAAUUUACCUUUCUUAAUUGUGUAUUUAAUUAUAUUUAACUUUCAUAACAAAAAUAUAGUAAAAAAAUAACGUUUACAACAAAACUAAAAGACAACAUAAUUGUUUACCAAAGAGAACUCCAUACAACCAAAUUUAAUAUUAUAGUUCACAUUGAAAAUGUUGAUAAAGAACAACAAAAGAUAAUAGUUUUGAUAGUAUCCAAAGGUUUAUAUAUUAAAGUGAAGUUACAAAUUAUGUUGUGUUAGGGAGUGAGAAUCAAUUGAAAUAAGAGAUUUAAUAAAAGAGUUAUGUUAAAAAUAAUACAUAUGGACUUGACAUCACGUAUUAACUCAAAUAUAAGGCAUUAGAUCUGUAAAUUUGGUUGUAUUUGAUAUAACAGAUGUGUUAAAAAAGUUACACGUAUAUAUCAAAUGAUAUAUAUUUUAUUACAUAGAUUAAAUAUGUUAAAAUUUUAAAAAAAAUAUUUUUUAGUUUAUGCGGGCCAGCCCACCAUAACCCAUAACCCGCUUAGGAUGGGUUUGGGCUACAAUUUGAUAUGCAUAAAUUGUAUCUGGGCUUUUUAGCCCGGCCUAGUUUAGCACGAACCCAAUAUGGGCUAGCUCGAACCUAUCCGAGUAGCCCGUUUUAACACUUCUACUUGUGGCUCUCCAUUCUUCUCAUACUCCGGUAAUAAUGGAACUUCCUGGUGAUUGGAGGCUCUCUGGUGGUUGGAGGCUCCCUGGUCACAUUCUGGUCCAAUAGUUCAUUUGAAAUGUAUUAAAAAAUCAAGAUUUUUCAAUUGACAAUUCUGAAAAAUACAACAGCAUUAACUGAGGAAAUCAAACAUUAUCAAUACCGUCACUUUCAACGUAUAGUAUAUAUAGUAUUUUGCUACGGGAAAAACCAGAAUCAUCGAGCACGUCAAUAAGUUUAUUUUGCACUUUAGUUUUCCACUACGCCAUAAUAGUAAAACAACAGUGCUGGAAAUUUUCAUUCAACGACGCUUUCAAGCAUUGUCUAUGUUAGCGCAAUAGAAAGAUUUCAUAGAGUUUUUGAAGCGCUGUAGAAAAUAGACAUUUAACACUAAAAUGAGUACUGUUAAAUGUCUAGUUUCUAAAAAAGACAAUAUCUCUCCUAGACAUUCUAUCAAACACAUGACAAGCAUGCCCAACUUCACCACAUUUACAAUAGAAACGUCAUUCUGAAAACUCAAUUUUUAUAAACCAUUGCAUGCACUUGUCUCCCUUGGUUCAAAUCCAUUAACCCAUAUUAUUAUAUAUACUAAUGAAAGAGACGAAAGUGGUAAAUAUGUAGAUGACUAAUCCAAGAAUUUGUUGUCUCUCUUAACUUUAGAAAUAAAAGGCUUUCUUAUCAACGACAAAAAACAUAGUUUAAAUUUAACAUUAUAGGAAUCAAAUCAAAAUUUACACAAAAAAUAAGGAUGAAAAAAUAAUAACCAUAUAUAAGAAAUACACACAGAUAUUACAAGUUUGGUAAAUCACCAACGGCUCCAACUAGAUUCAACAUUGACAGAUUCUUAUAUUAUAAAAUAACUAGAUAACAUAAAUAUAAAUGCAAGUAGUAAGAGUAAAUCAAAGAGAAAUAAAUGAGGUAAAAUAAGAUAACUAUUCAUCUUAUGCUUGAAGAGAGAAAUCAAAAACAAAAGAGAAAAAAAGUUAACUCAUGGAGAACAAAGAGAAUAAGAGAAAUAGAAAACUAAAUGAUAUGUAUAUUAUUGUAUGUAAAGUUUUGUUUUUAAACCUGCAAAGAUUCGUGCGCACUAAAAAAGUGUUGUUUGAAUGUAUAACCAUUAACACUGCUCACUCAAGCAAAUGUUGUUAAUUGUGUGACUUUUAACAACGCUCACUAAAGCAAGCGCGGUUAAAUGUGUGACUUUUAACAGCGCUCACUAACGCAAGCAUUAUUAAAUGUAUGAAUUUAUGACUUUUAACAACGCUCUUUGAAGCAAGCAUUGUUAAAUUUAUGAAUGUGUGAUUUUUAAGUGCUCACUAAAGCAAAUGUUGUUAAAUAUAUGAAUGUAUGACUUUCAACAAUGCUCAUUAAAGAGAUCGUUCUUAAAUUUGUGAAUGUGUGACUUUUAACAACGCUCACUGAAGCAAAGGUUGUUGAAUGUGAGAAUGUAUGACUUUUAACGAUGCCCAUUGAAGCAAACAUUGUUGAAUGUAUAUUCACCUAUCAUAUUUAACGAGGCUUACUUCACCUAGCAUUGUUGAUUUCCUUCCGCCUUAUAUUUAACAACAUUCAACACUUGUUGUUAAAUGGUUGUUGUUAAAUGUCAAUUCUGGCGUAGUGUUCUUUUGGUGCACUCAGAUAAAUUGUGAACUUCAUACGAAAAAAGGUUGGUGAUUAUGGUUGCUUAAAAAUCUAAAAAUAAUCCAUAUAUCUUCUUUUUCAUUUACAUAUAUCAUUGUCUUGCAUCAUACCCUUAUUUCAUCACACGAUGCAUAUCUUUUAUUUUCAUUCACUACAAGAAAAUUGUGAUAUACCUACAGACAUGUAUAGUGAUAGACAUUAAAAUGUAGGUAUAUGUAUCUCAUACCUACAUAUGUUUCAUAAACUGUGGGUAUGGGUGUUAUGAAAAGUUUCUUUUCAAUUCUUAUUACUUUCCCUCUCUUUUUUUCAUUCUAUUAUUUGAACUUUCUUUCGCUUGUUCAUUUUCAAUUAUAUUUCACAUGUUUUUUCCAAUAAAAACUUCUUAAAACUCUCUAAUCAACAAAAAAAAAGUAGCAAACCCUAUCCUUCAAUUACAUCACUCUCAACUUUAAAAACUACAAUCCCUUUCUCCCUCAGUUGUGUCUCUCUUCAAAAAUAUUAGCCUCCUUCUUCUUCUUCCACCAACAACAUCUAUUGCUUUUACUCUUUAUGGUUUGUGGAUUGACAUGGACACCAUUCUCAAUUUUCUAUUUCCUUUUACAAUUCCUCAUUUGGGUUUUGAGAAUUUUUAUUACAAAGUGUUUUUUAUUAGUUGUUAACUUGUUAUGUUUAUUGUCUCCUGUAACUGUGAAGAGUGCAUAAUUUGUGACAUUUGCACUGAAGUGAAAAAAGAUAUAGUACACUUGUUCUGGUUUGGUUUUGUUGUAAAAUGGAGAUGCAAUGAAUCCAAAAGUAUUACCUCAACUCGUAGUCACUAUUAUUGUUCAUGUUCAAUAAUGUGCUAAUUAUAAACAACUUAAAAAAGGUAGGUUCAUUUACUCUUAUUCUUAUUCUAUUUAUAAAUUGUUUUUAAUUUGUUUAUGUAUGUUUCAAAACCAAAACUCUGAACAAAUGUCAUUCUGAAUUUAUUGUCAUAACUGUUGAUAUUGAGACUCUUGAGAUUCUCCUUCACUUUCCACUCCUUUAUGAAGAUAAGGUUUUAUUUUUCAUUCUCAUUAUCUCUCUUACUUGGAUUUCAAUGAUUUUCCUAUUAUCUUGCAGUACUAGUGGAGUUCCACAGUGGCCCAACUCAUCUCACAAAAUUUCGUUUAUUUUUCAGUUAAUUUUAAAGGUCAUUUGGCUGACGAAGAUAUUGGAAGAUCGAGAUAGCUUCAUCAUAAGCUAUGUGUACAUUUUAUAGAUACCUAUUCAAGUAUAUAUUAUAUGCUUUCUUUCUAAAUUUUGAGAAUACGUAUAAAUUAUUUAUCUUGCUAAUAAACUAUUUUUUUGGUGGACAUGGGUCUUUAUGUUAUUUCUUAAUAAAAUUGAGUUUUAUUCUGAUUCCAAAUUUUAUUUAUUUAUAUAUUUAGCUUAUAAUUAUAUCAUUGUUUUAGAAGAAGAUACUAAAAUGAAAUUAAAAUACUCAAUGAUUUUUUAUUAAAACAUGUAGUGGUAGUGUGAGAAUAAUAUUUUACAAAAUCAUGUGGUAGAUAAAAAAUCAUAAAAAACUUAUACAUAUGGAAGCAUAAUCAUAUGUAUAGGUAUCAAAAACUUAUACCGAUGAAAACAAAACCGUAGGUAUAAUGACUUAAAAAUGACGGAUUAAAUUGUCUGCAGGUAUAAGUUUUAGAGGCUACAUCUUAGGUUUUAUAAUCUUUCCCAACAUUUUUUACCAUCACUAAAUGUCAAAUUUCUUUUAGUGACUUUUUUGCAUUUUUUUGCCAUAUAUCCUUGCUUUGAAUAUAGCAUAUAUUGACCAAUUACUAUAUCUUUCAUUUUUCGCCUAGUAAUAUGACCCAUUCGAAAGCUAACACAUUUUUUGUUUGCAUAACUUAUGUAGAAAAUUUUUGCAUCUUCAAUUGAUGUGAACUUUAUUUCUUUAUAGGGCUCUAAGGGAGGCUCUGUUGGUAACUCAAUACUGAUAUUGUCCACCUUAAGAACAUCAUCUUCAUAGUUGAUGAUGGUAGAAUCUUCAAGCAUAUUUGUCAUCUUAAUUUUUGUCAGUAAAAAAAGGGGUGAAAUUGUUACUAUGAUUAAUAAAGUUAUCUCAAUAGUGAAUAAUGAAAAUUUUGGAAGACAAGAGGGAGCAAAAAUACGCCCUAGAAAAAUGAAAACAAUAUUGAAGAUAUCGAACCACAAAGAAAGUGAAAGCGAUAUGGGUUGAGAAUGUGAAACUGAUAUGGGUUGAGAAUGUGAAACUGCUAUGUAGCUAUGAUGGAAAGAGAAGAGGAGAUUAUGGAACAAUAUUUAUUUUCCUUUUUUUGUUUUCUAAUAUGAUAUGGUAAAAUAAUUUGAAAUGAAAUUAUUUGAUUGGAUAUAUGUGUAAAACACGUUUAUAUUGACAGACUAUAUAUUUUAAAGUCAUAAUUAAAGAGUACAAAACAAUUUUCCCAUAAUUAAUAUUAUUAAAGAGAUGAUAAAAUUAUCCACAAUCCACACCGUAUCAAAAUCUAGAAUAAUUUAAAUUAAUCUAAAUUCAUCCAUUAAAACUAAGGAUUUAAAUAGAUAUAGUUCAAUGGUAGUUUUAAUAAUGGAUGGAUUCAAAUCCAUCGAUUAUACACAAAGAAUAUCCAUAAAUAUAUCUAUUUGGAUGAAUAUUCAAUCCAUUAAAAAGCAAACACUCGCAAAUGUGGAUUAUUGCUUUUCAAUUUUAUUCAUUGUCUCUACUCUCACUUUAUGGUGUAGAUAAUAAGAAAAACUUAAAAAAUAUAUGCAUUGAUAGUGUAUGAGUUAUAUACACUAACAAUUGAUAAUGUAUCAUCAACAAUUCAUAUUUAAUCAUCAUUGACUCUUCAAAAAAAAUUGUUAAUAAUGGAGUGACUAUAUAUAAAUUUUUACGCUAACAAUGCAUAUAUAUUACACUCUAGUCCAAAUUUGUUCUUAGAUAAGUAACAUGUCUAAAUAUUCACUAAAAACUUGUCACGUUUAAUUCUUUUUCAAAUUUUCCAAAAAUCACUUUUCUAAAAAGUGUUUCUUGAAAAUUUAAAACAGAUUUUUUUAAAUUGAUUUUCUUUUAAAAAUGUUUUUCCUUUAAAUAUGAUUGUUUGAAAAAUGUUUUUCCUUUAAAUAUGAUUGUUUGAAAAAUGUUUUCUUUUAAACAAAUGUUUUUUUGAAAGAAUUUUUUUAUAAAACAUGUUUUUGAACCGUGCUUUUUUUAAGAGUGAUGUUAAAAUAUGUGUUUUAUAAACAAUGAAUAUUUAAAAAUGCUUUAUUGAAAUUUUGGUUUGAAAUAGUGGUUCUUUUCGAGAGUGUUUUUAUUUCUAAUUAUAAAAUAAAUGUAUUGAAUAUUCAUUCAUUAAAAUAAAUUCAUUUAUAUAUUGAAAUUCAUUCAUUAAGUUUGUAUUAAUGAAUUUAUUGAGUUGUUGGAGAACUUUCUAUUCAUCUGUUAGUAUUUAAAUCUAUAUAUAUCCAAAGCAUUCAUUUCCCACCCUUAAAUAUUACUAAUUUCAAAAUAAUUGAUUGAUGCUAAUCUACAAUUUAAAAUAACUUAACAUAUUGUUGGUUUGCAUGCAUAAGGUCGAGCCAAAAUUUUACGCCUCACCCUUUGUUGUUUAUUUCUAAAAGAGAAACUUUUAUUUUUUUGGGAGACUACCAAAUGAGGGGUGUUUCUAGUUGAGUAUUAAUGGUUUUGUUCUUUCUCCCAGAUUGGAGUGCAACUUGUUGGUGUUUUAUCCUAGGAAAAUCACAAAUGAUUUUAGUGCAAACUCGUAGUAUGAUCUAAUUGGAUAUUGAAGCGCUUGUUUAUGAUAAAUUUUACGUAACUGGGUUGAGUUGUCUAAUGGGCCAAAUAACCGAGCUGGGAAACCUAGCCAUAAUGCGAAAUAAUCAACUCUAACAUAAGAGUUGAAUUGUGUUUGUAAGUUUAAAAUAAACUUUUCAAAUUUUUACGGUAGAGAUAACAAUUUUGAUCAUAAUAAUAUUUAUACAAGUGACUCGUCUGUUUUAUCACAAUAAUUUUUAGACGACUUUUUCAUUAUUUAUUGAAAGAGAUUCAAAUGAAGUUUAAGAAAAGAACUUGUUGGUAUCAUAGAAUCAGAAAUCUCACGAUUAAAAAGCAAUUAUAACAACUUAGAGCAUCUCCAGCAGCAAACAAAGUUUUCAUUCUUAUUUGUGUCUCACACAUUAUAUUAUAAUUUAUUACAAUUCCAUAAAAUAAGAAUAACAUCUAUUUUUUUCUCACAAUGACAAACAUCAUUCAUAUUCUUAUUUAAGUCUCAAAACAUACCCCACACUUUUAUAUUUUACAAUAAAUAUAACAAAUUAUUAAGAAUAAGUAUUUAUUUAUUUAUUAAUAAAUUAAAAUUGCUAUAAUUUAUUUAUAAUCUAACUUUUUUUUUGUAAAUUAUAAAAAUAAAAUAAGCGGACACCAAUAAAUAAAACAAAAUAUUACAUUAAUUAAAAUACAUUAAAUAUAAUUUCAAAAUAUAAUAGAAAUUACAACAUAGUAAAUUCAAAAAUAAAUAAAAUGUAUAAAAUAUAUAAAUUACAUCACAACGCAUAAAGGUCAUUUCUCCUCACCAAGACCAAUAAAUGUUCUUAUUUACCAGGAACUGUUAUUACUUAAGAACAAAACUCAAGAAAUAAGAAUGACAUAAUAUAAAACAGAGUAAGAAUGGUCUUAUUCUGUUAAGAACGACCUUAAGAACAACCUUAAAAAUAGCCUUAAGAACAACCUUAAAAAUAGCCUUAAGAACAACAAAUGUGGAUGCUCUUAAACAUAAAGGAGUUCAGAGAUAGAGAAUUGAAACACAUAUUUAUACUGGUUCGUCCAAAAUCAUAAGUUACAUCCACUUUCUUGGCAUGACAAAGAUUCUAGUAUAAUCCAAUAUUGAUUAUAGAAACAAUUAUUCUUUGUACACUUAGCCUCUUUAGGCUCAAUGUAACACCAUGAAUUUUCGAUGUGUAUUUUUAAUUAUUUAUUUUUAACAUAAAUUAAUUUUAGAAAUUAAUCGGUAAUGCAUUAGCCUAUACUGUAGAUGAGUGUUAGUCUUGUUUUGAGAAUUCCUAUGUUGUGGUAAAUGUUCGUAAUUUUAUGUGACGGAAAGUUUUUGGACUGUUGUCAGACCCAAAUUCACCCGAAUUCGGCCCAAUAGCGUGAUUUUGAGUUCCGUAGCUCAGAAUCAAAUAUCGAUUGAGCCGUUGGCUUCGAAUUAUUAUUUCGAGUCAAGAUAGACAUCAAGUUUAUCCAAAACGCAUUUCUAAAUAUUUUUCACUCCUAAUUCGGCAUUGAGAAAUUCUAACUAUAAUCGGAAGAUUUUAAUAUCUAGCCGAGUAUUAGCCGACAAUACUCGGGCAUGGUCUCAUCACGAAUGUUUCGUCGAAGAUGUCACCUCAUUUUCCCGACUGAAACUUGUGUGGCAAGCAAGCGAAAAUACUCAUCUUUUACACAAAUACCCCUAAACAUUUCAUUUACCCCAUCAUUUACUCAUCUUUUAUACAAAUACUCAUCUUUUACACAAAUACCCCUAAACCUUUCAUUUACCCCUUCACGGACCCACUGAUGCGAGACCAUCUACUAGGAGACAGAGUUGGGACGACGUGCUCAAUUCCCCACUAGGAAGGAGAGUUGCUCGAUGGAUGCUGCUUGGUCUUCAGGCAGAUGCAGGAGCGGGAAGUAAGUCGCAGGGUGCGUCCAAUGACCUGGAAGAGGAGAUGGAGGCUGAAGAGCAGGAAUUGGAAGUCGAAGAGGAGAACUGUGUGGAGUUACUCUAUAUAGAGGACUCUAUUGAGGUGGUGGACCUCUCCUCCGAUUCUGAGACGGAGGAGGACCCCAGCGAGUGUUCUAGUACACCAGCUAAUAUCGGAGCUAGUCACUAGUAGUCAUUCCAUUACUAGUUUCCCUUGAGGCGAGUAUCUGUGUAGGGUACUUUUGAUGCUUUAUAUAAACUAGUCUAUUGUGUAUAUUUUCAGUUUGGACAAGGAUUUAUUCCGCUUUGUUUUUGUAUAAUCAUUUUCAGUUAUUUCUAAUAAAGAAUUCUUCCACGAUAUAUUAAGUGGCUUUAGGUUACUUAAUGUGAUGUCCUAGAAAGGAGUCAAAUGUAAAUGAAGAAGUUUUACAUUACAAAAAAUUUUUACCCAUUUUUGGGCAAAUUAUUGGAGUAAUUUUCGGGGCGUUACAACAUGGUAUCAGAGCGGUUUUUUUUAUUCGGCCUUGGGCAUGGCCUCACAUGCUUUCUUGUGUGACUUGGUGUACUUAGUAUUUUCUUGAAUUAUUUGGUUGAGAAUACGACCCAUUCGUUCCUAUCUAACGAUAUUUUCAAUCAAUUAGCAUUGCCUUUAGUCUCCCUACCCUAUGACCUAAUUGUAUCUACACCCGCUAAUGAACCCGUCAUAGUGUCAACUAUGUGCUCUCAAUGCCUAUAAAUUUAGAUGAGUGAACCUUUGCAGUAGACCUGAUAUGUCUAUCCUUAUCCCAAUUAGAUAUCAUCUGUUCUUCUAAACCGCUUUAACAAAACGGUAAUCUUUAGCGUUCCUAAGAACCUAAUUGAAACCUGUUAUGAACCUCAUUGUUGUAGACCCUGCUAAAGUAGGAACGGUGAUAGAAUGGAAUUCUCCGAAAUUCGUAACGGAGAUUAGAAGCUUCCUCAGUUUAGCGGGAUACUAUCGGAAGUUCAUUGAAGGAUUUUCGGAGUUGGCAUUGACACUGACUUCGUUAACAAGGAAAGACAAGGCUUUUUUAUGGAUGGCAAAGUGUGAGGAAAACUUUCAGGAAUUGAAGAAAAGAUUUACUACAACACCUAUGUUGAUUCUACGAAACCCGAAAGGGAACUACAACAUAUAUUGUGAUGCGUCUAAACAAGGCCUAGGUUGUGUGUUGAUGCAACAACAAAAGGUGGUAGCUUAUGCUUCAAGACAAUUAAAGACACAUUAGUAGAAUUAUCCGACGCACAACUUGGAAUUGGCUGCAAUCGUAUUUCCUCUCAAGAUCUGGAGGCAUCACCUCUAAGGAGUAAGAUUUGAAGUCUUCAGUGAUCACAAAAGCUUGAAGUAUCUAUUCGACCAAAAGGAGCUGAACAUGAAGCAAAGAUGAUGGACUGAAUUCCUUAAGGACUAUGACUUUGAUCUCCAAUACCAUCAUGGGAAAGCUAAUAUGAUGGCUAAUGGCUUGGGUAGAACGUCUCUACAUAUAUCAACCAUGAUGGUCAGGGAGAUGGAAUUGAUUGAGGAUUUUAGGAAUUUAAGCCUCGCGAUGCAAGUAAAACCUAAGAGUUUGACUUUAGGUAUGCUUACAGUAACAAAUGAAUUUCUGGAACAAGUAAAAGGGUUGCAAAGUUCCGAUCCAGAAUUGCAAGAAAAGAGAACCUUGUUGGCCGAAGGAAGAGCCCCAGAAUUUCAAGAAGGGACCGAUGGAGUGUUGCGAAGUAAGAACCGAGUCUGUGUGUCAAGAGACCCUGAGUUGAAAAUGGCAAUCUUGGAUGAAGCCCAUAAGAGCAAACUAAGUAUUCAUCCUGGAGCUACCACUAUGUAUCAAGACUUGAAGAAGAUGUUCUGAUGGUCCAAUAUGAAGAGAGAAGUAGCAGAGUAUGUCUCGCGCUGCUUAACGUGUCAGAAGGCAAAGAUCGAGAAGAGGCGAACCAGAGGGGAACUCCAACCUUUGGAUAUCCCCGUUUGGAAAUGGGAUAGCAUUGCAAUGGAUUUUGAGAACGGAUUUCCUCGGACUCAAAAGGGUUAUGAUGUUGUUUGGGUGAUAGUGGAUCGUUUGACGAAGACAACUCACUUUCUACCCAUCAAUAUGAAAUACUCCUUGGAAAGGCUAGCGGAGUUAUACAUCAAAGAGAUUGUCUUAUUACAUGGUAUUCCUACAAAUAUCAUCUCAGAUACAGACCCAUGUUUCACUUCGAAGUUGUCGAAUGGUUUGCAAACAGCCUUGGGUACCAAAUUGAGUAUGAGUUCAGCUUACUACUCGUGGACGAGUGGCAUAUCUGAACGAAUUAUCCAAUCUUUGGAAGACUUGCUAAGAGCAUGUGUUUUGGAACACUCUGGAAGUUGGGCAGACUAUUUGCAUCUGACAGAAUUCACCUACAAUAUAGCUUUCAUUUGAGUAUCGGCAUGGUGCCGUAUGAAGCUCUUUACGGCGGAAAGUGCAGAACCAUUUUAUGCUAGUUUGAGGUAGGAGAGAAUCUUACAUUAGGACCCAAUGUGGUUCAGUAGACGACGAAAAAGAUAAAAAUGAUAAGGGAAAACAUAAAGGUAGCUCAGAGUAGGCAGAAGAGCUACUAGGACAAAAGGAGGAACCCUCUCAGUUUUGAGGAAAGAGAUCAUGUCUUCAUAAGGGUGGUUCCGACAACUAGCAUUGGUAGAAUUCUUAAAGCCCGUAAGCUUACCCCUAAAUUCAUAGGACCAUACCAAAUUCUUAGAAAAGUUGGACAAGUAGCUUACCAAAUAGCAUUGCCACCUUUACUAUCGAACCUACAUAAUGUAUUCCAUGUAUCCCAACUCAGAAAAUACAUUAGUGACCCGUUGCAUAUCAUCAAACCUGAUUCAAUCCAACUAAAGGAUAAUCUCACUAUUGAAACUAUGCCCUUGAGGAUCACUGAUCGAAGUGUGAAGGCGUUGAGAGGUAAAGAGAUUUCCCUAGUUAAGGUGAUCUAGAGCCAAGCAGACGGAGAAGAUGCAACUUGGGAGGUCGAGCAGGCCAUAAGAGAAUCCUAUCCCUAUCUGUUUUCUUAAAAGGUACGUAUAAUUUUCGAGGACGAAAAUAUUAUAAGUGGGGGAGGAUUGUAACAGCGUGAACGAUGUAUAUUUUUAAUUAUUUAUUUAAAAAAAAGUAAUAGGUAAUGAAUUAGGCUAAACCUAAGUUUAGUGUUAGUCUUGUUUUAUGAAUUCCUAUGUUGUGGUAAAUUUUCGUAAUUUUCUAUGACGGAAAGUUUUUGGACUGCUGUCGAGCUCAAAUUCACCCGAAUUCGGCCCAAUAGCGUGAUUUUGCAUUCUGUAGCUCGGAAUCGAACUUUGAUUGCAUCGUUGCCUUCGAAAUAUUAUUUCGAGCCAAGAUAAACAUCAAGUUUGUCCAAAACGCAUUUCUAAAUAUUUUUCACUCCGAAUUCGGCAUUCCGAAAUUAUAACCGUAAUCAGAAGAUGUUAAUAUCCAGGUGAGUAUUAGCCGACAAUUCUCAUCUUUUACACAAAACUAGUGUGACAAGCAAGCGAAAAUACUCAUCUUUUACACAAAUAUCCCUAAACCUUUCAUUUACCCCUUCACCAUUUACUCCUAGAAACCCUUGGCUUUCCCCCUCUUAAUCUUAUUUAUUCUACUUAAAGAGCCAUUCAAGCUAGAGAAACCAUUGAUUCUUCAUUUCAUUUCUUUCUUCUUCAUUUGGAUUUUUUCAAGAACACCAAGGUAAACCUCCAUACUUGUUCCUCAUCUUUUACAAAAUCUAGCCAUUCAUUGUUUACAAUAUUUGAGUAUGAUGUUUAUGCGCAUGUUACGAACAUUUUCAACCGUCAAAAUUUUCUAAAAAUCUUCCUAUCUCUUGUUAUACGCAAGAACGUGAAAAAUGAGUUUUUGUGAAUUUAGAAAUCGUUGUUUCGAAACCAUGAAAUAUUGUUGUUCAUGGGGUUGUUUUAGUGUUUGAAAUAUAUGCAUGUGUUGAUUUUGAUUAAAAGAGAUGAUGAUGAAAUUAAGGAUAUUUGAUUUGAAAUAUUGUUUUGAGCAUGAGAUCAACCCUUGUAAAAAGGUGUUGAAAUGAUCAUGAUCCAAUAGGAAUCAUGAACAAGAAUUUUGAGGAUAAAUGAUGGUUCGGUAAUAUAAGUCUUGGACCAGAUGGAUGAGAGUCUCGGAUGCUCUUGAAAUAGAUUAGAACGAUGUCUAUGUCGUAGAGUUAAUACGUGAACGAUUUAACUCGCGAAUCACUGAUUUGUCUUUUGUGUUUAGUUUCUAGGCAUUCGAAGUCGGACAACCGAUCCAUUCACGUGACAGAGGUCAAUAGUGCUACAACCCAAGGUGAGGGAGAAUACAUCGUGACAUAGUGGUGUCCGAAUAUGACACCCGAAUCUCCCAACUACCUUAAAAGUUGGGAGUUAUUUUUGUUGUUGUUAGAAACCGUACUUAACCAAAUGAUUUCAUGUCCAGAUUAAGUACAGAUGUUUCCUUAGGUUAUAUGCCCCUAGGAUAGUAUAAAAUGUCAAGUCUUGUGAUUGUUAUCCAUGAAGGAACACUAAUCGAGAAACUAAAACACGUAGGGAUCGAAAACAACGGAGAUUUUUGAUCCGAUAGCCCGAAAGGGCGAGGAAAUAGUCCUGGCAACCGGACUACCCUCGCUUGGGCAAGGGAGAAACAGUGAAUUAGGCCCCCAAUUGUUGCCUGGGCGUGCCAACCUGCUUGGGCGAGGGCCAGGGUGCCGUUUGGCCUGUUUUGGGCACCUGAGCAAGACCCAGAGGGUGAUUUUGACCAGUUUUUGGUGGAUUUUUCGCUCGAGAGAUAGUCCCAUCACUUGAGCGAGAGCCAUGCAGGAAAUAGAGUAUAUUUUGAUGAAUUGGUCGGUUGAGCAACAGUCUUUCUCUUGGGCGAGAGAUAGGCAUAAAUUGUGAGUGUUUUUCAUUGAUUUAUUGCUUAGGCAAUAACCCUAGCUUGGGUGUGAAGUGUAUUUACACUUGGGGAAGACCGUGGCUCAGAGGAUUGAGUCGGGUGCCCAAAUCGACAAACUUAUAUUGUUACUUUUGUUCUCGCGCCUUAUGCGGGUAAGGAUUUCGACGAGGAUGUCAUGAUCAAGGCGAUGCCUAGAAAGGAUUACAUGAUACCAUGCAGCAAGGUCGUCUGAUCGUAAGAGGCUUGGCUAUGUGGUCGUCUAGGGUAAUUCAGCGAUAAUUCAUAGUGGUAGGGAUUUUAUUCCUAUAUAAGAAGCAUUCCUUUGGGAGACGUCUUAGGAUGAGUCGAUCGAUAUAAAGGACUAAUUAAAAGAUAUAAUUAGCUAACUUCGGUUAGCGUGCAUACUCAUUAUGAAUAACGAAGUAGUGGAGAGGAAAUUUACGGGAGACGAACGAGCCCCACGAUGUUGGAAGGGACAGCGAUGGUGGUGAUUUGUCAGCAAAGUCUUGAGGGAAGGUCUAUGUGAGACGAGUCUCUUGUAUUCCUGGAUGAUGUACUCUAUUGGAUCGGAUGGUUCUCACCGCGCAAACUAGACGAUCUUUGAAAACCCCUCUUUGUAAUCAGGAUCAAUAAGAGGGAUGCCCAGAAAGUGUUUGAUACGACACCGUCCUAAAAUGGACAUUUAUUCAGAACCAGUCGAUCGUAUAUCCUUGUAAGGAAUAAUUAUUUUUGGUGCUAUCAAAUCGGCUUGUUAUGGGACCUGCACUCUUGGUUAUUUUCAAAUAGUAUAUCGGGAGGAUAUUGGUGUAAGGAUGGAUGAAAUAAGCAUAACAUUCAUACAUUGCGACCGUGGAUAUUGAUCCUCAUUAUCCGAGUUAUAACAUCAUUCAUCAUUGUGCAUUAUGUGUGUGAUCUAUAUUGUAUAUAUUAUACGUGUUUGUCUGGAUGUGAUAAUCUAUGUAAUUCCAUGUCAUCAAUGAAUAAUAUUCAUUAGAUGUCUUACUCCCUUUUCUUUUCUUUUAUUUUCUUUCUACUUGUCUUCGGUUCACGUUCUCAUUCAGAUUUACCGUACCGCAAGGAUUCUGUGUAACACCGUGAAAAUUCGAUAUAUUUUAUUAAUUAUUUAUUUUUAACAAAACAUAAUUUUAGAAAUUUAUCGGUAAUGAAUUAGGCUAAACCGUAGAUGACUAAUAGUCUUUUUUGUGAAUUACUAUUUUGUGUAAAUUUUCGUAAUUUUCUGUGACGAAAUGUUUUUGGACUGCUGUCGGACCCAAAUUCAUCGGAAUUCGGCCCAAAAACGUGUUUUUGGGUUUCGUAGCUCAAAAUUGAAUUCCAAUUGUACCAUUGGCUUUGGAAUAUUAUUUCGAGUUAGGAUAGACAUCAAGUUUGUCCAAAACGCAUUUCUAAAUACUUUUCACUCUGAAUUCGGCAUUCCGAAAUUUUAACCGUAAUUGGAAGAUUUUAUAUCCCGCCGAAUAUUAACCGACAAUACUCAGGCAUGGUCUCAUCACGAAUGUUUCGCUGAAAAAGUCACCUCAUGUUCCCGAGUGAAACUUGUUGAGCAAGCAAGCAAAAAUACUCAUCUUUUACGCAAAUAUCCAUAAACCUCUCACUUACCCAUCUCACCAUUAUUAUUUGAAUUAUUCUUUGGCUCUUCAUUUCAUUCUUCUAGUUCUUCAUUUGGAUUUUCUCAACAACUUCAAGGUAAACUUCAUCCCUUUUGUUCUUAAUCUCUUAGAAAUCUAACCGUUAGUUGCUUACGAAAUUUUAGUAUGAGGAUCAUACGAAUGAUACGAAUGUUUUCAACCGUCAACAUUUUCUAAAAAGCUUCUUAUCUCUUGUUAUACGCAAGAACGCAAAAACUGAUUUUUUGCAAAUUUAGAAAUCGAUGUUUUGAAACCAUGAAAUAUUAUUGUUCAUGGGGUUGUUUUAGUGUUUGAAAAUAUGCAUGUUAUUUAUGUUGAUGAAAGAUGAUGAUUUUGAAAUCAAAGAAUUUUUUAAAUCAAAAAGUCGUUUUGAUCACGAGAUCAAUCCUUGUAAAAAGGUGUUGAAAUGAUCUUGAACACGAUAGGAAUUGGGAACAAAACCUUCGAGCAUAAAUGGUGGUUCAAGAAUAUGAAUCUUGGACCGGAUGAAUGAAAGUCUCGGAUGUUCUUACAAUGAAUUAAAAUGAUGUCUUUAGCUUAGAGUUGGUAGGAAAAUGAUUUAACUCGUGAAUCGAUGAUUGGUUUGCGUGUUUAGUUUCAAGGCGUUCGAAUGCGGACAACCUACGCAUUCACGGAAGGGAAAUCAACCGCGCUACAACUCAACAUGAGAGAGAAUACAUCGUGACAUAGUGGUGUCAGAAUAUGACACCCGAAUCUCCCAACUACCUCAAAAGUUGGGAGUUAUUUCUGUUUUUGUUAGGAACUCGUACUUAACCAAAUGAUUUCGUGUCUGGAUUAAGUACAGAUGUUUCCAUAGGAUAUAUGCCCCUGGGAUAGUAUAAAAUAUCAAUUCUUGUGGUUGUAAUCCGUGAAGGAACACCACUCGAGAAACUAAAACGUGUAGAGAUCGAAAAUAAUGGAUAUUUUUGAUCUAGUAACCCAAAAGGGCGAGGAAAUAGUCCCGACAAGUGGACUACCCUCACCUGGGCGAGCCAGCCUCGUUUGGGUGAGGGGGAGGCAGUGGCUAAAACCCCCAAUAUUGGUGUAAGGAUGGAUGAAAUAAGCAUAUCCUACAUACAUUGAGAGUAUGAAUAUUGAUCCUCAUGAUUCGAGUUAUAACAUCAUUUCAUCAUUGUGCAUUAUGUCUAUGAUCUAUAUUGUGUAUAUCAUGUGUGUAUGUCUGGAUGUGAUAUUCUAUGUAAUUCCACACCGUCAAUGAAUUAUAUUCAUUAGAUGUCUUACUAUCUCUUCUUUUCUUUUCUUUCUGCUUGUCUUCGGUUCGCAUUCUCGUUCAGAUGGACCGUAUGGUGAUAAUUCGGAGUUAUCGAUUCUCGAUGUCCCAAGAGGGGGCAUGGCGUAGUCAUGGACAUAGAUACACCUACACAGGACCUUGUGCCUUAGAGCUGGAGAUGGUUUGUGAUGGUUUCCCUUCACAACAUGCAGAUUUGGAGGCUUCUUUCACCUUACCGGCUUGGAGAUAUACACCUACUACAACAUCCAUUCAGUCUAUGAUUCCUCACGAACCCACUGAUGUUGGACCAUCUACUAGGAGACGGAGUGGAGACGAUGUGCCCGAUUCCCCACCAGGGAAGAGAGUUUAUAUAUGGAUGUUACCCGAUCUUUAGGCAGAUGCUGGAGUGGGAAGAAAGUCAUAGGGUUCGUUUAACAAAGAAGAACUGGAAGCCGAAGAGGAAGAUUGUGUGGAGUUGGCCUGUAUAGAGGACUCCAUUGAGGUGGUGGACCUCUCUUCUGAUUCUGAGAGGAACGAGGAUCCCAACGAGUGUCCUAGUACACCCUCUAACCCUAAAGCUAGUCACUAAUGGUCAUCUGCAUUUCUAGUUGCCUUGAGGUCGGUAUAUGUGUAGAUAUUUUGGUUGUUUUGAAUAAAUGAGACUAUUGUAUAUAUAUUUAGUUUGGACCAGGAUGUAUUCUGCUUUGCUUUUGUAUAAACGUUUUCAGUUAAUUUCAAAAAAGGAUCAUUCCACGAAUUAUUGUUGUCCUUUCCGCAUUUUAGGUUAUUAAAUGUGAUGUCCCGAAAAGGAAUUAAAUAUAAAUGAAGAGUUUUGCAUUACAAAAAAAAAACAAUUCACCCACUUUUGGGCAAUAUUGUUGGAAAUUUUUGGGGCGUUACAUUCGGAGCUACCGAUUCUUGAUGUCCUAGGAGAGGACAUGGAGUAGUGACAAACACAAAUAUACCUACACAUGCCAUUGUGCCUUAGAGCUGGAGAUGGUUUCUGACGGCUCUAUACAGCGCUUACCCUUACAUCAUGUGGACUUGGAGGCUUCUCUCACUUUACCUUCUCGGAUAUUUGCACCUAUUGCACCACCAAUUCAGUCUUUGAUUCCUCACGGACUAACUACAGCGGGACCAUCUACUCAGGAGACGGAGUUAAGGCGAUGUGCUCAAUUCCCCACCAGUAAGGAGUGCUGCUCGACGGAUGUUGCCCGAUCUUCAGGCAGAUGCGGGAGCGGGAAGUAAGUCACAGGGUGCGUCUAAUGAUCUAGAAGAGGAGAUGGAGGUUGAAGAGGAGGAGCUGGAAGUCGAAGAGGAGGAUUGUGUGGAGUUAGUCUGUAUAGAGGACUCCAUUGAGGUGGUGGACCUCUCCUCGGAUUCUGAGACAGAUGAGGACCCCAAAGAGUGUUCUAGUAUACCUACUAACACCAGAGCUAGUCACAAGUAGAAAUUCCAUUUCUAGUUACCCUUGAGGCGGGUAUCUAUGUAGGGUACUUUUGAUGCUUUAAAUAAAUCAGUGUAUUGUGUAUAUUUUCAGCUUGGCCAAGGAUUUAUUCCGCUAUGUUUUUGUAUAAACAUUUUCAGUUAUUUCCAAUAAAGAAUUAUUUCACGAUAUAUUAAGUGGCUUUAGGUUACCAUUAGGUAACGAUCAUUGUCUUUUCCGCAAUUUAGGUUACUUAACGUGAUGUCCCGAAAAGGAGUCAAAUGUAAAUGAAGAAGUUUUACAUUACAAAAAAAUUACUCAUUUUUAGGUAAUAUUAUUGGAGUAAUUUUUGGGGCGUUACACUCAACAAUUCAAGUAUUGUUUGUGCACAUAGCCUUUUCAUGCACACCACUAAACAAUGGUUUCUAUUAAAAUAAGUUUUCAACUUUACAAGUCUUUCAAUUGCACUCAUAAAUUAAAAUAAAUAUCAAAGAGAAAGAAUGAUAAUUUAAUAGCAAAUGGAUUAACACAUAUGCUCAAUAUAGCAUGAUGUUAUUAAAUAAAAUAUGAAUAUAGUUCUUGAAAAAAUUAGAGCGUUAAAUGAUACUCAUUUUAUUUGUGUAUUGUCAGAUCUUGUUCUACUCUUCUUCAAACGCUAAGGCAAUUUAUAGAUUCGGAAAUUAAUAUAAUCGUUAUUAUAGCCAUUUAACUUCAGUCAAAGCUUCUUCUUGAAAUUAAUAUAUGGUAAUACUUUGUCUUCUCUAUAGCUUAAUUUUUUCUUGUAUUUCUAUAGUGAUAUGUUAAAUUUGAUUUCAAUGGAAAAUUUAAUGUUUCAUGAUUGUUGAAGCUUUCUGAUGGAAGAGAGAGAAUUGUGUAUUAUCAAAAGUUGGUAAUCAACAGAUUUUUUCGUAUUUUGUACUGCGCAUUUUCUUUUUGCAGUAAUAAAGUACAUUUUGUCUUCUUAUUUUUUAAUUAAAAUCAUGUCCUUAGAGAUGUUUUUUUGUUCCUUCUCGAUGUGACAUAGUUGAUCCUUCAUUCUUCUUUGAUUGACAAGUAGAAUUCUUCACAUGAAGAUCACAUCUUUCUCAAUGGAGCAUUCUUGUGUAGAGAUGUUGACUAAGCUUCAUAAAUAUCUUAAAUACAAAAGAGUCUUGAAUUCAUAUAGAUCUUCAUUAUAGACAGGUUUUUAGCAAGACGUGUCAUGAAUAUCGGCGAGUCUUGAUCACAAACGGGUCUUGCACAUAGAUAAGUCUUGAUAUCUAUAUUUCCUUGUUCGAAUAUGCAAAAUUAUUAGUUCUGAUUUCGUUGGACACUUAAAUUAGAAGAUUAGAACGUUCAGACAAUUAAACAUAAUCUUACUUAAUGAGCCACCACCUACACCUCUUGGUCUUGAUUAGUUUUGGAAUCAUCAAAACUUAAAGGUUUAAAUAUUAGAAUGUGUUUAGCGACUUUAAGGCUUAUCAAAAUGAGCCACCACCUACACCUCUUGGUCUUGAUUCCUUAUACACCAAAUGGACAUAGACCAUUCCAAAGCCAAAUGUGACCUUAGUACUUCAAAACCAAAAACCUCAUCUUGCUUCAUUUUCAUACAUAGGAUUGAUGAUUAUAUGAUAAAAUCUUGUUUUGUUUGUCCCUUUACCUACUUUAUAUGAUUAUUCAAUGAUAAUUUAUAUAUUGGAUUGAUUGUGGAAUAUUUGAUGAAAUAAGAUUACUAGGACUCUGAAGGAGGAAAUGAGAUUUUGUUGCAGCAUUAAUAAUUGUUGAACAAUGUUGGUAACAAGUAAUAAAGUAAAAUGGGAGAAAAUAUUAAGCAGAAUAGAGAAGAAAUAUAUUAACGAAGUUUAGUCAAUUGUACCUACAUUCCCAUGAACAUUGAAGGAUGACUACUUUAUGUGUAGUCUUCUGCUUGGACCCAAUACAUAACCCAAAAAGCUCAUAAACUUUUUGAAAUAUCUUUCAGCUGGCGGUGAUCCCAUACAUGCCUUGGCCAAGGUUUGAAAUUUAGCAUAAGAUUUAUAACCCAAACCCUUAGUACACGAUUGUGAGUCAUAUUACACCCUAUUAUACGGUCGUGGUCACCAGCACACUAUGAUCGUGGUCCUCUUAGUAACUUUGUGUCUUCUAGUGCUUCGAGAAUACGUUUGUGUAUCCUCACACAACUUAAUCGCGUUUCACUUAAUAUGAGUCAUUCAUGAAAGUGCGCAUGUCAAGAGGAGCACUUUGGAAAGCUUGCUCACUAUGUGUUUUGGUUUUGAUGAGCACAACUUGUGUUUCACAAGAGCUUGAAGAUCAUCAACAAACCAACAUGCUUAAGUCUCAAGAUUGGUAUUAGACUUAGACUAGUAAUUAGUUUAGGUUGAGUCUAAGGCUUAGGUAAACUCAAUACAUGUCUCAUAUGCAUAAAACAUUAAAUCAUUUUAUUUUUGAGAUAUGUCAUUCAUAAUAUGUUCAUGCAUCACAUAUAUACAUGUUAUCUGUGCAUCCUAGGCAUAAACUUAGUGUUGAACAUGUAUAAGUUAAGUGCAUAACGUAUUUGAGUUUUGCAAUUUAAAAAUACACUUGGAAAUAUGCAGUUAAUCGAUUAAGGUGUGUUUUAAUCGAUUAACAUAAGUUUUUGAAAAGCAGUUGGAACAGAAAACUUGGAAAACCGAAUCAGUACAAUGGUAACACGUUAAUCGAUUAACCAAAGAUUUAAUCGAUUAACUGGACUGCAGAGUGGAUUCUUUAUAAACUGCGUUUUCAGAACUCAAGCCAUAACUUGCAUGUUAGAUUUUAAGAUUUAGAGAGUUGGAGCAUAUUUCGUGUUAAUUGUUGCAUCUAUAUGACAUUGCAUUUGUGAGAUUAGAAAAGAGAGAAUUAUAUGCUUUAGGAUUGAGAGGCAUUACACGUUUAAUUUCUCAUCAUUUCAUCCCACAUGUUCAUGCAUUCAUUGAUGUUUUUGGAAAGAUUUCAUAUUCUGUAAAAUAUGUUUUUUACUAAUGCAUUAUCAUGUUAUAUGAGACUUGUGUUAGAGUUGUGGAGUAAGAUCUUAAUUGUUUAAUUUGAGCGUUGUAAUUGCUUUAGAUUACUCUAUGUUUUGUUGUAAAAAAGUGUUGUAACUUUGGGAAUCUCAAGGUGUCUUACUACCAAGGAGAUUGUGUUGUAUCUUCAUUAGCUUAGAGAUCUUAAUAGAAAGAAUAGGUUCUUGGCUGGGGCUACACCGCAAGAAAGGUUUUCUUGGGCGGUAGAAAAGGAGUCAAACCAAGGGAUAAGGUUCUUUAGUUGUCAAGAAAGUGUCUAAGUGUUGUAAUUGAAAGAAUUGUUUGUAAAACGCUAUUUCAAUUAUAGUGAAGAAAAAUCUCCCAGAUCAGCCGGGAGGCCUGAAUGUAGUUUGCAAGUGGACACGCAAACGAACCAGGAUAAAAANNNNNNNNNNNNNNNNNNNNNNNNNNNNNNNNNNNNNNNNNNNNNNNNNNNNNNNNNNNNNNNNNNNNNNNNNNNNNNNNNNNNNNNNNNNNNNNNNNNNAUCUGUUUCUAUACUAUACUGUUGUAACUCUGAUAUAUCUGUUAGCUCUGUAUAUUUGCUUCGAUCUCAGUUGAUUGUCGUAUAAGAAACUGAAUUUGUUUGUGUAAUCUGAGCUAUUUUAAUCGAUUAAAUUGCUUGCGUUAAUCGAUUAUUCUUUCUCUGUUAAUCGAUUAAUCUGGGGUUAUUUCAGCAUUAUUUGUUGUUUGCGAAAAGCAGAUACUCUGACCGCUACACCUAUUCAACCCCCUUCUAAGUGUAUUUUAGCCACUGAUAUCUAACAAUUCACACAAUAAUCUUCACCCUGGAAAAUAUUAUACUUCUUAGGAAAUAUGCAUAGUAAUAUUCUCUACCUUAGAAAAUAUCAUGCAUCUUAGGAAAUCUAUGCACUUUGACUAUAAUUGUACUUCACCUUGCUUAAUGCCUAACUUUCUUUAAUAGCUCCUCCACAUAAAAGUAUACUCCUAUUUCAGCAUAUGUCUUUCCAAGUAUCAUUGACAAUGCUAUUAAGAUAUCAGCUCUCUAAACUUAUAGUGUAACAUCUUGUAAUGUAGCCUAAUAGAUCAUACCGCCUAACCACCCAUUUCUAGGAAGACUUUUGACAUUAUGAAACUUUCACACCAAAGUGCACUGGGAACCGCCCUCUUCAAUAUCCAACUCAACUUAACCAAGAAGCUUCCUUGAAAAUCUAAAAAAACUGCCACCAUUGUCUAUACCAAAAAUCAUGGUUCCAAGAACUAUUAUACUCCAUAUUAGGGAGUGUACCCACAUCACACACCUUCCAUUAAUGUCAACCAAUGCCUACUGUCAUACCCGGCAUCUAUGAAAAUGUAAAUGCACCACACCCUACAUUUAUACAAAUUCCCAUAUUGCACCUGUACUCAUCUCAAUGCUUACAUGGCAUUGUGCAUCCAAGUCAGUAGUGCAUGUGUUACAUAGUGCAUCUAAGCCAAUGAACGUGUGUUACACAUGCAUCUAUUCCAAUUCUUCCAUGCUUCACUUGCAUCUAUUAUAAUGCGUCUAUGUCACACCUGCAUAUAAUCCAUUCUCAGAUGUCAUACAACCCACUAAUGUCCAUGCAAAAUUGUGGAUCUGCAAGCAAAAUGUAUUUACGUACCCAAGAGUAUUGAUCAUAUAACAAUGUAUUAUUAAGAAUUAGAAUUAGUAACUACAAUCACAUUAACAUCCAACUCAAUUAGGGUAUACAAAACAUAUGUAAAUAUAUUUUUUUACAUGUAUAUGAUACACAACCCUAAAAUAUACACAUGUGAAUAGUAUUAUUAAAUAUUCACUUAUGCUAGGAGGCCCAUAUCCACAACUACGGACUCAUACACAACUUGGUCGUGGUUUGUUGUUUUGUACCAAAUGUAACGCCCACGCCCUUGACAUAUAGUCAUAGGUCAUACCUUGACCUAGUACAUAGCCAAAGUUGACGUCGCACUUUAAUCAUGGUCCUCUAUGUAACUCCACGUCUUCUAGUUUUUCAAGAACAUAGAUUAUGUAUCUUCAUAUGACCUAGUUGUAUUCUACUGAAUAUGAGCCAUUUGCACAAUGAAGAUUCUUAAAUUGAAAAUAUGAUUGUGGAUAUUUUAAUGGUUUGGAUUUAUUUAAAGAGAACGAUUUUAGGUUGAGAAAUAGCUUUUCAAAGGUCAAGGACAAGUGAUGAAUCUCUCGUAUUUUUUUAGCAUUUUGGCGUUUGGAUUUUGAUGGCAAAAGUUUGGGACUGAACAUGAAAUUGAUGGAUAUCAUUUUUCUGUAUAAUAGAUAAUUAAUCAAUAAUUUAAUAAGUACAUUUAAGCUUAAUGAGUAAUCCACUAAAGAAACAUGUUCAACAUAAAUUUUAGAUUGACCAAUAAAGAAAAAAAUGAUAAUAUAUUUAAUGCAUUUAAGAAAAUAACUAAUACUAUAAAUUAGAAAAAAUAUUAAAUUACUCUUAAAAUUAAUUUUUGAUUUCAAGUUCAUAUGGCAUAAGUUUUUGUUUUCAGAUUCAUCCUUUAAAUUAUUUUCUCUUAAGUAAACAAAGGCUCUACACACACUUUGAGGGGUUGAAUAGAUGUGAGGCAUAAAUACGUGCACACUUAUUUUUACUAGAUAAUCAAUUAAUGUUCAAAAUUUUAACAAGUAUUUACAGUGUUAAUUGAUUGAUAAUCGAUUACAGAGAGUGUAGAAUAAAUUAUGCAACUAGGUAGUUGAUUGCAGAUCAAUUAUCAACACAAAAUUAAAAAUCAAUUUAAUCAUAUGGGAACAAGAAGAACUUUGAUAGUAUUAGAACUAAGAAUCACAGUAAAGCUAUUCAGUGGUUUACAAGAUUUAAUGCCCAAGAAAAGUGGUAAAUGAAAGUUAAAGAGUAAAGACACAGAGAAAUUGACACCCAAAGUUGAUCCUGGAUCACAAUAAUCCACUAGCACUAUAAGUAGUCUCUCUUUCUGAUAUGAGGAUUUUCUACUAAAUCGAAUACUAUGUACAAACAUACUUCCAUAUUCAAUCCUAAGCCAGUAGCUUGAACUCGAAGACAAUAACAAUGACCUUAUUGUGCAGAGAUUACAACAUUGUGAAAAACAAAAAUUCUUCAAUCAAUUGAUAUUGCUAUGCAAAUAUAAUUUUAGACUACAAUGUGUGAAUCUCAAAGUGUAUAAUGAUGAAUAAAAAUAUAAAUUGAUUACUUUGAGUGUAUUAUUCACAAUUCAUAUUUAUUCAUCAUUGACUUUUAAGUAUAAGUAAUACAAAUAAAUGAUAAUUGAUAUAUUUAUUGUGUAUAAAUUUUUACAAUAACUAUACAUAAAUAUUACGCUAAGGAAAAUUAAUCUUAGUUGGUUGUUGUUGUCAUAAAUUAUUUUCAAUAUUUUCUUCCUUAAACACAUGUUGCACACAAUCUUUGAAUACUUUUCAGGUGCUUUCCUUUUAUUUUCUAUUUCAAAUUUGUCUUUUAAGGAUUUGUUUGAGAGUUGAAUUUUGGAGGGGAAGAAACAGAAAUAGAAUGCUUGAAACCAUAAAAUACAUUUGUGAAAUGAUUCAUAAACUUUCUUUUUCCAUUUUUUCCCUUCCAAAAUCCAACUCUCAAAUUAAUCUUAAGUUAUUUUAUAUUUCAAUGUGGUCAAAGAAGUUGUUCUUAUGUUAAAUUAGUAGGUUAGAAUUCAUUUUCAAGUGAUACAUUUUCACAAAACUAAAAUAGACAGAUUUCAUAGGUCUAUAUGUUUUAACCUUAAUGAUAACAAAAUUAAAAAAGACUAAAAUGGAUUAAAAAAAGGACAAGACCAAAUUAAAAUGAAUUCAAAAAAAGACAAGACCAAAUUAAAAUGGAUAAAAAAAGACAAAGACCAAAUUAAAAAUAAUAAAUAAUUUACCGGAUGAAUCAAAUAACUUAGAAUUAAAGAUUUGAUCCAUACGUUUUGAAUUAGUUAGGUAACCUUUUUCUUUUGAAUUAAAUCCGAGUAUCUUGUUGUACUAAGGUCGUCUUUGUUCAAUUAUCAGAUAUUAAUCAUGUAACAACAUAUAGCUGAUCAAAAUGAGUUUUAUUUCUUUAUUAUUUUCAUAUUAUUUUGCAAUUUUGUAGCUUUUGUAUCUCAGAUUGAGCCUAAGACCAUCGAUGAGGCCAUUGAGGAUGUGCACUGGGGUAUAGCUAUGCAAGAAGAGCUAAACCAGUUCGAACGUAACAGUGUUUGGGACUUGGUCCCUAAACCUAAAGAUCAUCCCAUGAUAGGUACCCGAUGGGUCUUCAGAAACAAACUUGGCGAAUAUGGCUUAAUCAUUCGAAAUAAGGCACGCUUGGUGGUCAAAGGCUACAAUCAGGAGGAAGGUAUCGACUACGACGAAACCUAUGCCCCUGUAGCCAGAUUAGAGGCCAUCAGGAUACUUCUUUCCUUUGCAUCUAUUAUGAACUUCAAAUUAUUUCAAAUGGACGUAAAAAGCGCCUUCCUGAAUGGUUACAUUCAAGAAGAAGUCUAUGUUGACCAACCGCCUGGAUUUGAAAAUUUUAAAUAUCCGAACCAUGUUUAUAAACUUAAAAAGGCACUCUAUGGUCUUAAGCAAGCUCCUAGAGCUUGGUAUGAUAGACUAAGUACCUUUCUUUUGGAAAAAGGGUUCGAAAGAGGCUUGGUUGACACAACGCUUUUUAUUCGAAAAUCAGAAAAUCAUGUAUUACUUGUACAAAUCUAUGUGGAUGACAUAAUAUUUGGAUCUACUAAUGAUAUUCNNNNNNNNNNNNNNNNNNNNNNNNNNNNNNNNNNNNNNNNNNNNNNNNNNNNNNNNNNNNNNNNNNNNNNNNNNNNNNNNNNNNNNNNNNNNNNNNNNNNAACUCACAUUCUUUCUAGGACUUCAAAUAAAGCAGCUAGAAAGUGGGAUAUUCAUUCAUCAGACAAAAUACUGCAAAGAGCUACUCAAGAAAUUUGAUGUGGAUAAACUUAAGGAAGCCUCCACUCCUAUGGCAUCUGCUUGCUACCUAGACAAGGACGAAAAAGGAAAAGAAAUAGAGGUAACAAAGUAUCAUGGUAUAAUUGGGUCAUUACUUUACUUAACUGCAAGUCGACCUGAAAUCAUGUUUAGUGUAUGCAUGUGUGCGAGAUUUCAAUCAUCACCUAAGGAAUCACAUUAUAUAUCUGUUAAAAGAAUCAUGAGAUAUUUAAAAGGAACAACUAACAUGAGAUUAUGGUAUCCUUGGGACGCCUCACUAUCCUUGGUAAGAUAUUCCGAUUCCGAUUUCGCCGAAUGUAAAUUGGAUCGGAAAAGCACUAGUGGUANNNNNNNNNNNNNNNNNNNNNNNNNNNNNNNNNNNNNNNNNNNNNNNNNNNNNNNNNNNNNNNNNNNNNNNNNNNNNNNNNNNNNNNNNNNNNNNNNNNNAGUUGAAACCAUUCUGCUAGCUAAAAACCAUUUUUUUACCGUGUUUAAUCGAUUAAACACCUAGUGUUAAUCGAUUACCUGGGCAUCAUUUUCUGAAAAAUCAAUUUUUACAUGAUUUUAAUCGAUUAACUAUGCCCAUUAAUCGAUUAAAACCAGCAUCUUAAGUGCAGACAACACCUCGGUUUCACGCUUUUUCCGGCAUUUUCUCCACCUCUUUUCACUUGUCAGUCUCUGAAAUUGCAACUCAACUGAUCCAAGUGCUAUAAGGUAGAUAAACCUCUCCCUAACCCUCUCAAAACCAUCUAGAAAGCUCACAUUAUCAUCCUCAUUCCAUCAUUCCAAUUUUCCCCCAAAUUAAACCCUAGGUUAGGUUUUCCUAAUCCCUCUCUACUAAGUCCAACAUCAAUUCGGGUCCUACAUUAAAAUGGAGCAAGGUCGCGCAAAAAGGUUCAAAACUCCCGCCAAUUGUGGACGAAGACCGGAAGCUGACUCAUCCUCCACUCGGGACCGUGACGACCCUUAUUAUUCGCUCAUUCUGCAAGAGACUCGUUUGGCGAAGUUCCUAGGACGCAAACCCACGUAUGUAAGGUAUGUCGACUUAACCUAGACGGCGGAACAGAAUUUCAGCUUUCCGCAUGAUAUGGAGGCUCAGGGAGCCGUUAAAUUUCUGGAAUUAAAGGGACAAGUUUACCCAGCUCUAGUUAGGGAAUUUAUGCAAAUUUCAGAUAUAAGGAUGAUAAAUACUGGUCUAUGAUUUCUGGUAAACUGUUUGAGAUUAGUGAUGAAUUGUUUAUGAAUGUCGGUGGUUUGUCAUCUUCUGGUUAUGGAAUAGGAGAUUGCUCAUGGGUUAAGGAUAACUUUGAUCCUAUUGAGGUUUAUCAGUCAUUUCUUAGAGGUCCUCAUUUGUAUAUUCCGGGUCAACUGACCAAGGCUGGGUCAUUAUCUGUUGAGAACAGGUUGUUACAUUAUAUCAUUGCUUAUAUUCUGGUACAGAGAAACNNNNNNNNNNNNNNNNNNNNNNNNNNNNNNNNNNNNNNNNNNNNNNNNNNNNNNNNNNNNNNNNNNNNNNNNNNNNNNNNNNNNNNNNNNNNNNNNNNNNCUUGGCAAUACCAGGAGGAAUACAUUACUAUUGAUCUGGAGCUGUCCGAUGAUGAUCAGGGUGGCAUGGGUGAUCAGAAUGCUACAAAUCAGGGGGAGCCCUCCAGGACAGUAUCACAGGAUUAUGUUUUCGGUAUGGCUCAGAUGGAAGCUAUGGAGCAAAGGCUCAACAACCGCAUGGAUCUUCAUUUUCAAGGGUUGAAGGACUCAUACUUUGCAGGUAUGGAACAGUAUGAAGAGCGUCAAAUUGCCUAUUCAGACAACCAAUAUCAGUCGGUGAGAAAUCUGAUUCAAUCAACAGCCGAAGCUUAGAAUGCCUUUAUUCGAUCUACUGCUGAAGCUCAGAAUGCAUUAUUNNNNNNNNNNNNNNNNNNNNNNNNNNNNNNNNNNNNNNNNNNNNNNNNNNNNNNNNNNNNNNNNNNNNNNNNNNNNNNNNNNNNNNNNNNNNNNNNNNNNUGAAUUUCAGAAGUUGUCUAUGCUGAUCAGGGGUGACCAGAACAUUGUUAUUCCUGAUGAUGAGAUUGAUCCUCCUCCGCCUCAACCAUAGUACAGAAGACUUUAGACCUAGGACAUCUUACCCUUAGGUUUAUUUCUUCAUUAUUACACUUUUUUGGACUCAGUUGUUGUUACUUUUUCCAGACUUAUUUGUGCCUCUUUAUUUGUCUCUGCUUGACAUAUUAUGGUUUGUAAUGGUUGCUGAAUACUUUUACUCUUUAUGCUAUGAUUCUAGUUUUGUGCUUAAUUAUGUCAAAAUAGCUUAUUUGGUUGCGUGAAUGGUUCUUGACCAUAUGAGAUGUUUAUGGUGCAUGAUUUAAGCUAGUUAUUGCACUACAUUGCUUAUCAUGUUCAUUGAUAUGCUUAUUCUUGUAUGACGUUCUCCUUACCUCUUAGUUAUUUUACAUGUCUAAACAAACGCAUUUGUUUAAGCCACCGAAAAUGAAACAGGUUAAUAGUUAAAUCCCAAAAUUAAUUCAUUAACUUUGUUUUAUGUUUAACUACAUAUCUCUGCCUACUUUUGACCUGAGUUAUCAUUUUUAAUAAUGUCAAAAGGGGGAGAAAGGUUGUUUUGUUGUUGUUUGAUUGUGCAGGUUGAUCGUAAUAACUGCUUCCGAAAUAUUAGCGCAUCAUAUCAAUCAUUGCCAAUACAAUCUUCAAGCUAAUUCAUCAAACAAUUGGUGUAGUAUUUUGUCAUCAUCAAAAAGGGGGAGAUUGAAAGUGCGCAUGUCAAGAUAGCACUUUGGAAAGCUCUCUCUNNNNNNNNNNNNNNNNNNNNNNNNNNNNNNNNNNNNNNNNNNNNNNNNNNNNNNNNNNNNNNNNNNNNNNNNNNNNNNNNNNNNNNNNNNNNNNNNNNNNCUGUUUUGAGCAUCAUAAUUGCUUUAGUUUACUCUAUGUUUUUGCUGUGAAAAGUGUUGUAACAUUGGGAAUCUCAAGGUGUCUUACCACCAACGAGAUUGUGUUGUAUCUUCGAUAGCUUAGUGUUCUUGAUAGGAAGAGUAGAUUCUUGGCUGGGGCUACACCGCAAGAAAGGUUUUCUUGGGCGGUAGGAAGGGAGUCAAACCAAGGAAUAAGUUUCUUUUUGUUUCAAGUGAAUAUCUAAGUGUUGUAAUUGGAAGAAGUGCUUGUAAAACAUUAUUUCAAUUAUAGUGAAGAAAAAUCUCCCAGAUCAGCCGGGAGGCCUGGAUGUAGUUUACAAGUGGACAUGCAAACGAACCAGGAUAAAAACCGUGUUGCAGGAUUUUUCUUUCUCUCUCUCUUUCUCUCUUUAUUGCUUUAAUCGGUUACGUUGUAUAGUUGUUUUAAUUGCUAUAUUCUGUUUCCAUACUAUACUAGUGUAACUCUGAUAUUUUGUAAGCUCUGUGAUUUCGUUUAAAUCUCGGUUAAUUGUUGUGCAAGAAACUGAAUCUGUUUGUAUUUUCUGAGUUGAUUUAAUCGAUUAAAGUAAUUGUGUUAAUCGAUUAUUUGUGUUCUGUUAAUCGAUUAAUCUGGGGUUAAUUUUGAAUAAUUUAUUGUUUUCGAAAAAGCGGGUACUCUGAGCGCUACACCUAUUCAACCCCCCCCCCCUUCUAGGUGUAUUUUAGCCACUAAUACCUAACACCAUCACCUUAACCGGACAACACUCAACUUCACCAUCAUUAUCCACCUUCCACCAACUCAAAAGACUAACACAUAUAGAUGCUAUUGCAGACAUAUUCUGUGUCACAGUCGCACCCAUCCAAACACAGUCACCAACAACACAUACAACCUAUCUAGCCUUAACAGACCCAAACAAUACCCACAAUAAAGUUAUCCAACCCAUACUAAAGGAGUUUGAGUCAAUCUUCAGUACCCCAAAAAGAUUACCACCACAAAGACCACAUGAUCAUAAAAUUGUCCUCCUACCCAACGCAUCCCCACUUAAUGUUAAACUUUACCGAUAUCCUCACUCCCAAAAGGAAGAAAUGACAACUCUAUUAUCAGAAAUGUUACAAGCUGACACAGUAGUACCAAGUACUAGCUCAUUUUCAUCCCCAGUUUUACUAGUUCGAAAGAAAGAUGGAACAUGGCGUUUUUGUGUGACCACAGUUUGAAUGCAAUUACUAUUAAAAAUCGGUUUCCAAUUCCUACUAUUGAUGAGCUCCUAGAUGAAUUAGCAAAUGCUCAUAUUUUCUCAAAAAUUGAUUUAAGAUCUGGAUAUCAUCAAAUUAGAUUGGACCUUGCCGACACUCACAAAACAACAUUUCGGAUAGUAGACAGGCAUUAUGAGUUCUUGGUAAUGCCCUUUGGCCUACUAAUGGGCCAUCAAUGUUCCAAGCUGCCAUGAAUGAUUUAUUAAAGCUAUAUCUUCGAAAAUUUGUUCUCGUGUUUUUGAUGAUAUAUUAAUCUACAACAAGACCUUGACUGAACAUCUAACAUACUUAAGGUUAAUUUUAGCCUUAUUAAGGGAGCAUAAAUUUUUCGUAAAAUUAUCUAUAUGUGUUUUUGGCGUGCAUAGCAUGGAUUAUCUAGGACAUAUAUUAUCAGGUGACAACGUACAACCAGACCUAGAAAAAAUUCAAGCCAUUGUUGAAUGGCCAACACUAAAGUCGAUCGCGGCCUUAAGGGGUUUCCUUGGCCUCACCGGAUUUUAUCGACAAUUUAUCAAACAAUAUGCCUCACAUGUCGUUCCUCUGACAGCUUUACUAAAGAUAGGAAGUUUUACAUGGAGUAUCUCAACCCAACAAGCAUUCGAAAAUUUAAAACACAUAAUGACAAAUGCUCCAGUACUAGCUCCACCAAAUUUCACUAUGACUUUUGAUGUUGAAACAAACGUUUCAGGGAUCACCGUUAGUGCUGUUUUAUCCCAAAAAAUAUCACCCCACAUGGAAAAUGAGGAUACUAAUACUCAAGAGAGUAAUUUUAUAGAACAACUCACACAGUUGCUAGAGGAGAAAAAAAGGCACCCAAAACAAUUACAAAAGUAUACGUUGGAGACCCCAACUGCUCAGUUAAGGAAUUCAAGUGUUAUCAAUAAAGGCCCAGAAGCCCAACAACAAACUCCACCAUUGGAUCUACCUUGUGGACACGUGAAUCUCACGCCCAACAAGAACCAGCCGUGUGGCAAGAUGACUUACGUGGCACCACAAGAAGAAGACAAAGCUGUAGGUGCACCCUUACUCAACGCAAAACAACACAUGGAAUCAACCCAUUUUCCCUCCCAACAGAUACACCCAAUGCAACACACAAGAAAAGGACACACAAAGAUAAAAAUAAGCAACUCCAUAUUGAAUCACACCUUGAGGACAAGGUGUCCCUUGAAGAACCGGGCAAUGUUGGACCACCUAGAUCUCACUCUGAAUCCAGUAUCACAAGAAGGCCCAAGAGAGAUAUAUAACUACCUCAUAAAUUUAAAGAUUAUCUUAUGUAAUUUGGAGAAGAUUAUGAUAAGAUUAUAUUUUGUUAAUUUUAGAUUUAAUUUCCAAAUAACUGAAUUAAGAUUAUAUUUCAUCAAUCCAUAGAUUAAAUUUCAAGUAUUAUUUAAGUAAUGUUAACCCUCGUUCAAAAGGCAUCAAUAAAAAUUACAUAUUUUUUUUAUUAUUCUUAGUUUCUUUAGUAUAUUAGAAUUAUUCACUGCUAGGGCAUCACCCUAACACUUUUCAAAAAAGGUAAUCUAUAUAAAUAAUAAAUAAUAAAAUACAUGUGUAUAAAUCUUUACACUGUCGGUUCAUAGAUUUUCACUCAAAUAAUAAUCUAGCAAGUGGCAAGUGUGUGCUGAGCUUCGUUGAUUUGACGUGGAUAUCUUGCAUAAGUUGAAUUGGAAACCACCCACUUGUCAAGCAAUGAGUGGGUUACUAUUAUUCUUCUGCAUUCUGACCCCACACUAUCUUCACCUCGCCAACAAUAAUGAGGUAACAGAUUUGCGGAUAUACUACUUAGAUAAAAGGAUAAGCUAAGAUGAACUUGGACCGUCCGAUCUCAAAUAUCAUGACAUCCAACGUUGGAAGCCGAACAAGCAACAAGAACCACAUGAAUGCCUAAGAAUGUAAAUACAAAUGAAAUAAGAAGUGCACAAAACAAAACACUUCAUCUUACACUAGCAUUACUUGCACUAGUAGCUGCUAAAACAUGGCCACCGUUACAACACAGGCUUCUGCUGCCAUUUUCCGACCAUGUGCUUCUAAAUCUAGGUUUCUCAGUAGCUCUUCUGGUAAACUCAAUAGGGAAGUAGCUUUUAGACCAGUGGGAUCUACUCCUUCUACCUCUUUCAAGGUUGAAGCCAAGAAAGGAGAGUGGCUACCAGGACUAGCCUCCCCUGGUUACCUCAACGGCAGGUAUAUCAUAUGUUUUUUUAUAAUAUUGUAUGGAAACAAAGCAAGUGUUAGCGUAGUAGAGUAAGAUCAUGUUAGAUCCCGACAGACCAAAAGGUGAAACAUAUUAAACUAUGUGUUGAUUCAAAGUAAACAAACAUAUUUGGAUAACUUUCAAGGCAAAUUUACAUUUUAUAAUAUACUGCAUGUUAGAGUAUUGAAGUCCACAUUGGUUGGGAUGUACCAUUUAUAGUAACUCAAAUCAAAUCAUUACCAUUAUGUUAGUAUCUAAAUCACACAUUUGGUUGAAUAUACGAGAAAAUAAGUAUUUAUUUAUAAUAAUUGUCUUAGUAUUGGCACAGAUUGUGAUUUAGGAGCACAAGCUUAUGAAAUAUAUAAUCUAUCUCUAGACAUAAAUGACAUAGUUUCUGAACUUUCUUUCUUAGAUAUCAUUUUAAACUGAAAAAACUGAAUGCAGUAUCUGUAAUUAUUAACUUAUUGACCUGAAUGUAUGUUUUAUGCUGUUAUUAGUCUUCCUGGUGACAAUGGGUUUGAUCCUCUGGGUCUUGCUGAGGACCCUGAGAACUUGAGGUGGUUUGUUCAAGCUGAGCUUGUGAAUGGACGUUGGGCCAUGUUGGGUGUUGCAGGCAUGUUGCUUCCAGAGGUCUUUACCAACAUUGGAAUCAUUAAUGCCCCUAAGUGGUAUGAUGCAGGGAAAGAAGAAUACUUUGCAUCAUCCUCAACCCUCUUUGUGAUUGAGUUCAUUUUGUUCCAUUAUGUGGAAAUCAGAAGAUGGCAGGACAUUAAAAACCCUGGAAGUGUUAACCAAGAUCCCAUCUUUAAGCAAUACAGCUUGCCCCCAAAUGAAGUUGGCUACCCUGGUGGCAUUUUCAACCCCUUGAACUUUGCACCAACUGAGGAGGCCAAAGAGAAGGAAAUUGCAAAUGGUAAAUGCUUUAUUAACUCUUUAAUACACUACAAUAAUACACAAUAGUCGAAUGCAAAUUAGUGUUCCAGUUUAUGUCCCAAACCUUGUCUUGUUUAAUAAGAUAGCCCCACAUCAUUUAAAAACAAUUAAUUUAAUGGCUCCUUAGCUUGUUAAAAGUGACUAGAAAUUUUAAAUUGCGAUUGGAUUGCAAUCAUAGUUGUGGUUAUUGUGAUUAUGGCCGUUGUGACGUGAAUUAUUUUGUGAUUAAAAAAAUAUUUGAAUCUGAUAUGAUUCGAUGUGAUUGUGUUGUAACCCGAUGCGCCACAUUAUUGUAAUUUGGUAUCACACUGUAAUUAUGGUGUGAUGCAGUUAUAGUUAUUACCGCAUCCGCAACAUUGCGGCCGCAUCCGCAACAUAGUGAUACAAUCUGCAAUUUGAAUCAUUAAUACACUACACAAGAGUCUUAGUGUAAAACUAUUUAGCUAACCUUUUUUUGUUUAUAAUGUAUACAGGGAGAUUGGCAAUGUUAGCAUUCUUAGCAUUUAUAAUUCAGCACAAUGUGACAGGCAAAGGACCUUUUGACAACCUCCUCCAGCAUCUCUCUGACCCAUGGCACAACACCAUUGUCCAAACACUGAGUGGCAACUAAGUUUGUAUGAUUAUAUGAAUGCCUGUGUUAUUCUAUUGUACUUCUGAGUGGAUGAAUUUUGAGAGAAUUG